rnacentral:lncRNA from 1 species
GUAACCGUCCUCUAUUUCACUAGAGGUCUUCAGCCCUAGCGCCCUCUUCAGCCAGUGCCCCUGUACCCAAAUUCAGAAAUGAUAAUAUGGAUAGGGCACCAGGCUCUAAGUCCCAGGUCAGUGUUAGAGUUCUCGUAUAAAUCCUCUAUAUCAUAAAUGUGGCAGACAUCACCAGGGUAAGUUGGAGUGGGUAGCAAUGUAUACUUAGGGUGUGGCAAGCUAGGCCAUCGGAUUUGGAAGUAUCGGGUAGUUUCUCAGAAGGGUAGGGAUGUGUGCCAACAGGGCAAGUCCCAUCAAUCGUCAAUUCUAUCUGGUCGCCUAACUCAGUAGGUACCGCUUCCAGAGCUACCAGUAGUCACUGUCGGAACAGAUUAUAUACUUUUCAGUACCUCCAAGAUCAGGAAGAUUCUCCUGACGUAGUUAUUGGUACGUUGUAGGUCUUUCACUUACAUAUUUAUGUUUUACUAGACCUUGGAGCCUCUCUUUCUUUUGUAACUCCAUAUAUAUCCAUCAAUUUCGGAGUCAGUCCCGAAACUCUAGCAGAGCCCUUUUAGUGUCUAACCCAGUAGGUGUUUCCAUUGUAGCUAGCAUGUAUACAGGAACUGUUCAAUCACAAUAUUUCAAAAAGUUACCUCAGUUGAUCUCGUGGAGUUAGAGAUGAUGGAUUUUGACAUCAUUCUCAUCAUGGAUUGGCUCCACUCAUGCUAUGCCUCAGUUGAUUAUAGAAAUAGAAUAGUUCAUUUUUAGUUCCUAAAUGAACCAGUGCUUGAAUGGAGGGGUAGUACUAUACUCUUAGGGGUCAGUUGAUUUCGUACCUUAGAGAGAGAAAUAUAAUAUCCAAGGGGUGUGUCUACCAUCUUGUGCGAGUCAAAGACUCUAGCUCAGAAACUCCUACUCUUGAGUCAGUCCCAGUAGCAAAUGAAUUCUCAGGUGUGUUUCCUAAAGAUCUUCCUGGAGUUCCUCCUGAAAAAGAAAUUGACUUCAGAAUAGACCUUCUCCCAGAUACUCAGCCUAUAUCUAUUUCACUAUACAGAAUGGCUCCAGCUGAACUCAAAGAGUUAAAAGAACAAUUAAAGAAUGUCCUAGAUAAGGUAUUCAUUAGGCCCAGCGACUCUCCGUGGGGCGCGUCUAUUCUAUUUGUGCGUAAGAAAGACGGUUCUCUUAGAAUGUGUAUUGACUACCAUCAGUUGAACAAGGUCAAAAUCAAGAAUAAAUAUCCACUUCCUAGAAUUGAUGACUUGUUUGACCAACUUCAGGGUAACAGUUACUUUUCUAAGAUAGACCUUAGAUCAAGCUAUCAUCAGCUUAGAGUCAGAUAAUAUGAUAUUCCAAAAAUAGCUUUCCAAACUCGGUAUGGUCACUUCGAAUAUUUAAUCAUGUCCUUUGGUCUCACGAAUGCCCCAACAACCUUCAUGGACUUGAUGAACUGAGUUUUCAAUCAGUACUUGGACAUGUUCGUCAUAGUCUUCAUUAAUGACAUUCUAGUCUAUUCUUGUAGUGAAAGCGAUCAUGCAGACCAUCUCAGCAUAGCGCUUCAGACUCUUAGAGCUCACUAGUUGUUCGCUAAAUUCAGUAAGUAUGAAUUCUGGCUAAGAUCAGUAGCUUUCCUUGUCCAUAUUAUUUUUGGUGAUGGCAUUAGAGUUAAUCCUCAAAAGAUUAAGGUGGUGAAAAACUGGCCUAGACCCAUCUCUUCAUCAUACAUCAGGAGUUUCUUAGGUUUAGCUGGCUAUUACCGUCGGUUUUUUAAAGGGUUUUCUUCUACUACAUCCCCCAUAUCCAAAUUGACACAGAAGAAAGUUAAGUUUCAAUGGUCAGAUUCCUAUGAGAAGAGUUUUCAGGAGUUGAAGACUCGACUCACCUCAGCCCCAUUCCUUACCCUACCAGAUGGUUCCGAUAGGUUUAUUGUGUACUGUGAUGCAUCCAGAUUAGGCUUGGGUUGUAUCCCCAUACAGAGAGGUAGGGUCAUAGACUACGCCUCCAGACAACUUAAGCUUCAUGAGAAGAAUUAUCCAACUCAUGACCUUGAGCUAGCAACAGUAGUAUUCGCUUUAAAGAUUUGAAGGCAUUAAUUGUAUGGAGUGCAUGUAGAUGUGUUUACAGAUAAAAAAAGCCUUCAGUAUGUGUUCUCUAAAAAGGAUUUAAAUAUACGUCAGAGAAGGUGGUUAGAGUUAUUGAAGGAUUAUGACAUGAGUGUUCUGUAUCAUCCGGGCAAGGCCAAAGUAGUGGUUGAUGCUCUCAGUAGAUUGUCUAUGGGCAGUGUCACUCAUGUUGAGAAUAGUAAGAAGAAGUUAGCUCAGAAAGUCCAUCAGCUUACCCGACUAGGUGUCCGUUUACUCAAUUUAGCAGAAGGUAGUGUAUAGGUGCAGAGCAGCUCAGAGUCAUCUCUAUUUUCCAAAGGUAAAGAAAGAACAGGACAGGGAUCCCAGUCUAGUUAAGUUGAAAGAAUCAGUCAGAGAUUAGAAAGUGGAGGUUUUCUCCCAAGGGAGAGAUGGUGUGUGUGCUGUUAGGGUAGAUUGUGUGUGCCUGCUAUAGAUGAUUUAAGGCAAUGAAUUCUUGCAGAAGCGCAUGGUGCGCGUUACCCUAUUCAUCCAGGGGCCACUAAGAUGUACCGCGAUUUGCGGGAGAUCUAUUGGAGGAGUGAGAUGAAGAGAGAUAUUGCAGAGUUUGUAGCUAAGUUCUCUACAUGUUAGCAAGUUAAGGUUGAGCACCAGAAGCCCAGUGGGUCCAUGUAGGAGUUCAGUAUUCCCAUGUGGAAAUGGGAGAAAGUGAACAUGGACUUUGUGAUAGGUUUACCUCGUGCCCGUCAUCAAUAUGAUUCCAUUUGGGUUAUCGUAGACAAAAUGACCAAAUCAUCUCAUUUCUUGUCAGUUCAUACCUCUUAUUCAGUUGAGGACUAUGCCAAUCUCUAUCUUAGAGAGUUGGUUAAGUUGUGCGGUGUUCCUUAUCUAUUAUCUCAAAUAGAGGUACCCAGUUUACCUCUCACUUCUGGAAAGCAUUCCAAAAAGUUCUUGGUACCAAAGUUCAUCUUAGUAUCGCCUUUCACCCCAAGACAAAUGGCCAAGCAGAACAGACCAUUCAGGCUCUUGAGGAUAUGCUGAGAGCAUGUGUUGUUGAUUUCAAGGGUAGUUGGGAUGACCGUUUGCCUUUGAUUGAAUUCGCAUACAAUAACAUCUAUCAUUCCAGUAUCUAUAUGGCUCCAUUUGAGACUCUCUAUGGUAGGAAAUGUAGAUCUCCAUGUGGUUAGUUUAAUGUAGGUGAGGCUGUACUAGUAGGUCCAUACUUGAUGUUUAAUACCUUAGAGAAGGUUCAGUUGAUCAGAGAAAGGCUUAGGGCUGCCUAGAGCCGACAGAAAUCAUAUGCCAAAGUAAGGAGAAAGGAUCUUGAGUUUGAGGUCGGUGAUUUGGUGUACUUAAAAAUCUCUCCCAUGAAGGAAGUGAGAGAUUCGGCAAGAAGGGGAAACUCAAUCCUCGAUAUGUUGGUCCCUUCAGAAUUCUCAGUAGUUUCGAAAAGGUAGCUUAUGAGCUUGAGUUGCCUUUAUAUUUAGCCUCAGUACACCCAACAUUCCAUGUUCAUUGUUGAAAAAGUGUAUUGGUGAUCCAGCUGUAGUUGUUCCCUUAGAAAGUGUAGAUAUUCAGAACAGUCUUUCUUUUGAGAAAAUUCCAGUCAAAAUUCUUGAUCAUUAAGUUCCCAGACUAAGGAACAAUGAAGUUCCAGUAGUCAAAGUUCUUUGGCGGAAUCAGUCUAUUGCGGGAGCCACUUGGGAGCAGAAACGAAUGUGCGGACCAAGUACCCUCAUUUUAUCUCUGCAAAUCCAAAUUUAGUAUAAGGUGCCAAUCUUCUUAAGAUUUUUUAUCUGCCACGCUCAAUUUCAGCCGCACAUUAUGUUCAUGUCAGUCAUGCAUUCAUGAAUCGGUUUAUUCCUGCAUUUCAUGCCUCAGACAUGCAUAUUUAGUGUGUAAGCUCAGUCCAUUAGUUUUCUCAACUUAACCUGUUUCAUUCGGGGAUGAAUGAUCCCAAGGAGAAGAUAUUGUAACACCCCGUAUUUCCCUAGCAUAAUCUAAGUCCCAAUACAUGAGUAUCUCUACAUGAAAUUUUUGUAAACACUCAUUAUUUUUAAGUUUAGAGCCUGCCAUUGCGUAUGAAAUUCAAUUAGCUUUCCAACGAUAAAAAUUUGCCCAAAUCCGAUAACCCGGGUAAGAAGUUAUGGCAAUUUUAAGUUUCAGUCAUUAAACACCAUCAUUUUAACCUUUAACGCAUCGCGGAGCAGAACAAUCUCCCAUUUGGAAAAUUUCAGGGAGGGUUUGUGAUCCUGGCGCGUUGUGCCAUAGGUCGACUUGACAAUUAUCCAUUUUCAAUGUCGAAGCGCGAUACCACCGCAUCGCGGUGAACUUCCAGGUCCCAAUCAGUGAAGAGCUACAAUUUCCCAGCAUCGCGCCACAGACCAGUUUCCCAGUUGUCCAAUUCCAGCGACACGGCGUGAUAGCGCCGCAUUGCGCCAGCCCAAAAAAUUGGGAUUUUCAGUCAGUUUUGAGUUUUAAUUCCAAGGGAUUUUAAGUACUUUUCCCUUGUCCAAGUCAGCCCAAACAUGAAAUUAAGUCCCUAAUAACCUAAUUUGGCAUUAUUCAAAUUAAUUUUUCCCCAAAAUCAAGAACAUUCUCUCAAGUAGCAAAACCCUAACCUUCAGGAAUAAAGGUCAAAUCUCAAGAACUCUCCAUCACUCCUUCCAAAUUCAUCAUCCCAGGUAUGUCAGAUGUUCUUACAUGGAGCCUAAGUAACCUAUUUUAAUCACCAAGUUAUAAUAUUUAAAGUUAUUGUGUUUUAAAUUAUGAUUUCAUCCAUGACUCUCCAUGAAAUACUGAUUUUAUACCAUGUUACUAUGAAAUUAUUGUUAUUAUUCAAUCUUCCAUGUUUUAAUACUAUAAUUUAUUAAAUUAAAUCACGAUUUAAUGCUAUUCUAAUGAAUUCAUGUUAUUCCUACAAAUUCCAUGACAUUCCUAUGAUUGUUUUAAACCAUGAACUACAAGUGUUUGAUAAAAUGCCUAUAAGAGUGAUUUAUUUAAUAAGAGCCUUUAUAUUUUGGUCUUUAAGCUUUAGUGUCUUUUCAGUAUUGUUGUUUUGAGUCCUAGGGGUAUUGAAUACCCAAAAACCAUAGCUGUUUAUUUAGUAUAGUCCCAGUAUAUUACAGAAUAGUCUCCAAAUUAUAUUAUGAGCAUUAUCAGAAUAGUCAGAUAUCAGUCAUUAAACUCAGAAUAGCCUAGUAUCUCAGUGUCUUUCAGUUGAGAGUAGGAUUUAGCACCGAGUGAGUAUAGGGAUGACGGCUUCCCCGUCAGAUAGGCAGAGUCAUUAGUAGUAGUCCCUAUACUCCAGAACUAUGUAGCCAGUUUAGGAUAUAAGUAGUCACCCGUCAGAUUAGGCUUAACUAUCUCGCAGGAGUCACCCAUCAGUUCUAGCUUGACACCCUUAGUCCUUUGGAUAUUAUAUCAGUUUAGUGGAUCCACACGGCUAUCAUUAGUACCCGUGGCAUGGUAUUAACACUCUUUAAAUUGGGGUUAUAUGUUGGACCUAUAUUAGUUUAAAUUAAGGAAUGUCGGUUAGAUGAUACCUCCCACAGUCUCAGAUAUAGUCUCAGUUACAAUCCCAGCUUAGUUAUUCAGUCCUAUUGUUGUUUGACCAAAUUAUACAGAUUUCAGUUAUUUCAGUAUUUUAUUUUAAAGAUUUUACUCAGCUCAUGUUAUAUGCUUGGUCAUGCAUCCUCAGUAUUUACAGAUUUUCAUGCAUUUUCAGUGUCUACAGAUUCCAUGCUCUUUAUUCAGUACUCCAUGCUUUACAUGCAUGUCUAGUUAAUUUUUAUUAUCCCUAUUUAUGAGACUAUGCAUAUAAGCCUACCUUAUUUAGCAUACCAGUACAUUCAAAGUACUGAUCACAUACCUUUUAUUUUGUGUUAUGAUAUCUCAUAUCAUAGGUGCUGACACCAAUUCCCGGAUCACACCUAGAUUCUCAGAUUAUCAGCAGUACAGUAGUAGUGGUAAGUCCUCAUCAUCCGAGGAGAAAUUAUAUUACUUCAUGUCUUUAUCUCAGUAGUUAGUAGAGUUAGUUAGGGCAUGUCCCAUCAACUCACAGUAUUCAGUUUAGAGGCUUUUCAGACACUAAAGUUAGCUAUUCAGAUUAUUAAGAUUUCAGUAUUUUACCAGAUUCAUAAAUUCAGUAGUCGUUUUAUCAUUAAAACCUUAUGGUAUUUUAGUUAUUCUUCUGCAUUCAUGAUUAUAUUAUUCAGUGCUCACAGCAGGUACCAGCUUAUGGGUUAGCUUGUGGUCCCUUGUGACUGUAAGCAUCGUGAAACAACUAGGGGUAGUCUCGGGUCAUUACACCAUGCAACCUAACCAACUCUCUAACAUAGAGCUUGGAGUAGUCCUCGGCUGAAUAAGAAGUAUGAACUGGCAAGAAAUGAGCUGAUUUGGUCAUUCUUUCUACAAUAACACAUAUCAAAUCAUAUUGACGACAUGUACGAGGUAAACCCGUCAUAAAAUCCAUGUUCCCCUCUUCCCACUUCCAAGUGGGAAUACUAAACUCUUGUAAUGUACUACUAGGCCUUUGGUGUUCAACCUUAACCUACUGAUAGUUAGAACACUUAGCUACAAACUCUGUAAUAUCUCUCUUCAUACCACUCUACCAAUAGAUUUCGCAAAAAUCACAGUACAUCUUAGUGGCUCCUAGGUGAAUAGAAUAACACGCACCAUGCACUUCUACAAGGAUUCAUUGUCUCAACCCAUCAACACACGACACACAGAGCCUACCCUGACAUCGCAAUACACCAUCUCCCCCUUGGGAGAAAACCUCUACCUUCUGAUCUCUAACUGACUCCUUCAACUUAACCAAGAUGGAAUCCUUAUCUUGCCUCUCCUUCACUUUGGAAACCAAUGAAGAUUACAAAGUAUUCUAAACCCAUACACUACCUUCAGCUGAAUCAACUAACCGAACACCUAAUCUAGCAAGCUGAUGAACCUCCUGAACUAACCUCUUUUUAUCAUUCUCAACAUAGGCAACACUACACAUAAUCAAUUUACUAAGGGCGUCUGCCACUACAUUGUCCUUGCUCGGGUGAUACAAAAUACUCAUAUCAUAAUUUUUUAACAACUCUAACCACCUUCUCUGACAAAGAUUUAAAUUUAUACUGCAAGUUUUUGUGAUUAGUGAAUACAUCAAUAUGCACCCCAUAGAGAUAAUGCAUCUAAAUUUUUAAGGUAAAAACAACGACUACUAAUUCAAGAUCAUGGGUAGGAUAAUUCUUUUCAUGGGGUUAAGCUGUCUAGAGGCAUAGGCUAUGACCGUACCUCUCUACAUCGAUACACAACUAAUACCAUCUGAACUAUCUGGCAAAGUCAAAACUGGGAGUUAAGUGAGUCGAGUCCUCAACUCCUGAAAACUCUUCUCGCAAUAAUCUGACCACUGAAACUUGACUUUCUUUUGAGUUAUUCGAGACCUGGGGGAUGCAAUAGACGAAAACCCUUAAACAAUCCAUUUGUAAUAGCGAGCCAAACCCAAGAAACUCUUGAUAUCUAAUGGAGAAAUGGGUUUGGGCUAGUUCCUCACUUCUUUGGUCUUUUGAGGGUCAACUCUAAUGCCAUCACCGGAAAUAAUAUGACCAAGAAAAGCUACCAAUAUUAGCCAAAACUUGAACUUACUGAAUUUGGCAAACAACUGAUGGGCGCUAAGAGUUUGUAAUACAAUUCUGAGAUGGUUUGCAUGAUUAAUUUCACUACAGGAGUAGACAAAAAUAUCAUCAAUAAAGAUGAUGACAAAUAUGUCCAAAUACUGCUUGAGCACUCUAUUCAUCAAGUUCAUGAAAGUUGUUGGGGCAUUUAUUAGUCCGAAAGACAUAACUAGAAAUUUGAAGUAACUAUACCGAGUUCUGAAAGUGGUUUGCAAAAUGUCACAUUCUCUGACUCUGAGCUGAUAAUAGCCGGAUCAGAGGUCUAUCUUAGAAAAAUAAGUGGCAUCCUUAAGUUUGUUGAACAAGUCAUCAAUCCUAGAGAGUGAAUAUUUAUUCGUGAUUAUGACUUUGUUCAAUUGACGGUAAUUAAUGCACAUUCUGAGAGAACCAUCUUUCUUAUGCAUGAAAAGGACUGGAGUACCCUAUAAGGAAAUAUUGGACCUGAUGAAUCCCUUAUCUAAGAGAGCUAUCAACUGUUCUUUUAACUCCCUAACCUCAGCUGGAGCUAUUCUGUAGGGUGGAAUAGGGAUAGGCUGGGUAUCUGAAAAGAGAUUUAUUCCAAAGUCAAUUUUCCUUUUAGGAGGAACUUUGGGAAGAUCUUCAGGUAAAACGUUUGGAAAAUCCCUUACCACUGAAACUGACUUGAGAUUUAGGGUCUUAGAACUAGAGUCUUUGACUCGAACAAGUUGGCAAACACAACCCUUAGAAAUCAUUUUUCUUGCCUUAAGGUAUGAAACAAUCUAACCCCUAAGCACUAAAGUACUAUCCCUCCAUCUAAUAACUGGUCCAUUGGGAAACUGAAAUUGAACGACCCUAUUUCUGCAAUUGACUGAAGAAUAGCAUGAGUAGAGUUAAUCCAUACCGAGAAUAACAUCAAAAUCAGUCAUUUCUAACUCCACAAGAUCAACUGAGGUGACUUUCUGAGAUGUUGUAAUCGGAUAGUUCCUUUAUACCUGCCUGGCUACAAUAGAGACACCUACCGGUGUAGACACUAAAAAAGGGUUCUACUAGAGAUUCGAGACAGACACCAAAAUUAAAAGCAAUAUAGGGGGUUACAAAGGAGAGCAAAGCUCUGGGGUAUAACAAAGCAUAAACGUGAAGGUAAAAGACCUGUAAUGUACCAGUAACCACAUCAAGAGAACUUUUUUUAUCAUGUCGAGACUGAAGUGCAUAAAUCCUAUUCCGAUGAUGUCCAUUGGUGGCACUGGAAGUAGCACCUACUGAGUCGGACGACCUGCUGACGUGGCUGAAGAGUUAGUCUGACCCUGCUGGCGAUCAUUCCUACCCUUCCACAUACCUACAGGAAACUCUCUCAUCUUGUGGGCUAGCUUGACAUACCCAAAACACACAUCACUACCAGCUCUACACAUACCUUGAUGAUUCCUACCAUAUUUCUGACAAAGAGGAUUAGUACUUAUUCUUCUGCAUUCAUGAUUAUAUUAUUCAGUGCUCACAGCAGGUACCAGCUUAUGGGUUAGCUUGUGGUCCCUUGUGACUGUAAGCAUCGUGAAACAACUAGGGGUAGUCUCGGGUCAUUACACCAUGCAACCUAACCAACUCUCUAACAUAGAGCUUGGAGUAGUCCUCGGCUGAAUAAGAAGUAUGAACUGGCAAGAAAUGAGCUGAUUUGGUCAUUCUUUCUACAAUAACACAUAUCAAAUCAUAUUGACGACAUGUACGAGGUAAACCCGUCAUAAAAUCCAUGUUCCCCUCUUCCCACUUCCAAGUGGGAAUACUAAACUCUUGUAAUGUACUACUAGGCCUUUGGUGUUCAACCUUAACCUACUGAUAGUUAGAACACUUAGCUACAAACUCUGUAAUAUCUCUCUUCAUACCACUCUACCAAUAGAUUUCGCAAAAAUCACAGUACAUCUUAGUGGCUCCUAGGUGAAUAGAAUAACACGCACCAUGCACUUCUACAAGGAUUCAUUGUCUCAACCCAUCAACACACGACACACAGAGCCUACCCUGACAUCGCAAUACACCAUCUCCCCCUUGGGAGAAAACCUCUACCUUCUGAUCUCUAACUGACUCCUUCAACUUAACCAAGAUGGAAUCCUUAUCUUGCCUCUCCUUCACUUUGGAAACCAAUGAAGAUUACAAAGUAUUCUAAACCCAUACACUACCUUCAGCUGAAUCAACUAACCGAACACCUAAUCUAGCAAGCUGAUGAACCUCCUGAACUAACCUCUUUUUAUCAUUCUCAACAUAGGCAACACUACACAUAAUCAAUUUACUAAGGGCGUCUGCCACUACAUUGUCCUUGCUCGGGUGAUACAAAAUACUCAUAUCAUAAUUUUUUAACAACUCUAACCACCUUCUCUGACAAAGAUUUAAAUUUAUACUGCAAGUUUUUGUGAUUAGUGAAUACAUCAAUAUGCACCCCAUAGAGAUAAUGCAUCUAAAUUUUUAAGGUAAAAACAACGACUACUAAUUCAAGAUCAUGGGUAGGAUAAUUCUUUUCAUGGGGUUAAGCUGUCUAGAGGCAUAGGCUAUGACCGUACCUCUCUACAUCGAUACACAACUAAUACCAUCUGAACUAUCUGGCAAAGUCAAAACUGGGAGUUAAGUGAGUCGAGUCCUCAACUCCUGAAAACUCUUCUCGCAAUAAUCUGACCACUGAAACUUGACUUUCUUUUGAGUUAUUCGAGACCUGGGGGAUGCAAUAGACGAAAACCCUUAAACAAUCCAUUUGUAAUAGCGAGCCAAACCCAAGAAACUCUUGAUAUCUAAUGGAGAAAUGGGUUUGGGCUAGUUCCUCACUUCUUUGGUCUUUUGAGGGUCAACUCUAAUGCCAUCACCGGAAAUAAUAUGACCAAGAAAAGCUACCAAUAUUAGCCAAAACUUGAACUUACUGAAUUUGGCAAACAACUGAUGGGCGCUAAGAGUUUGUAAUACAAUUCUGAGAUGGUUUGCAUGAUUAAUUUCACUACAGGAGUAGACAAAAAUAUCAUCAAUAAAGAUGAUGACAAAUAUGUCCAAAUACUGCUUGAGCACUCUAUUCAUCAAGUUCAUGAAAGUUGUUGGGGCAUUUAUUAGUCCGAAAGACAUAACUAGAAAUUUGAAGUAACUAUACCGAGUUCUGAAAGUGGUUUGCAAAAUGUCACAUUCUCUGACUCUGAGCUGAUAAUAGCCGGAUCAGAGGUCUAUCUUAGAAAAAUAAGUGGCAUCCUUAAGUUUGUUGAACAAGUCAUCAAUCCUAGAGAGUGAAUAUUUAUUCGUGAUUAUGACUUUGUUCAAUUGACGGUAAUUAAUGCACAUUCUGAGAGAACCAUCUUUCUUAUGCAUGAAAAGGACUGGAGUACCCUAUAAGGAAAUAUUGGACCUGAUGAAUCCCUUAUCUAAGAGAGCUAUCAACUGUUCUUUUAACUCCCUAACCUCAGCUGGAGCUAUUCUGUAGGGUGGAAUAGGGAUAGGCUGGGUAUCUGAAAAGAGAUUUAUUCCAAAGUCAAUUUUCCUUUUAGGAGGAACUUUGGGAAGAUCUUCAGGUAAAACGUUUGGAAAAUCCCUUACCACUGAAACUGACUUGAGAUUUAGGGUCUUAGAACUAGAGUCUUUGACUCGAACAAGUUGGCAAACACAACCCUUAGAAAUCAUUUUUCUUGCCUUAAGGUAUGAAACAAUCUAACCCCUAAGCACUAAAGUACUAUCCCUCCAUCUAAUAACUGGUCCAUUGGGAAACUGAAAUUGAACGCCCCUAUUUCUGCAAUUGACUGAAGAAUAGCAUGAGUAGAGUUAAUCCAUACCGAGAAUAACAUCAAAAUCAGUCAUUUCUAACUCCACAAGAUCAACUGAGGUGACUUUCUGAGAUGUUGUAAUCGGAUAGUUCCUUUAUACCUGCCUGGCUACAAUAGAGACACCUACCGGUGUAGACACUAAAAAAGGGUUCUACUAGAGAUUCGAGACAGACACCAAAAUUAAAAGCAAUAUAGGGGGUUACAAAGGAGAGCAAAGCUCUGGGGUAUAACAAAGCAUAAACGUGAAGGUAAAAGACCUGUAAUGUACCAGUAACCACAUCAAGAGAACUUUUUUUAUCAUGUCGAGACUGAAGUGCAUAAAUCCUAUUCCGAUGAUGUCCAUUGGUGGCACUGGAAGUAGCACCUACUGAGUCGGACGACCUGCUGACGUGGCUGAAGAGUUAGUCUGACCCUGCUGGCGAUCAUUCCUACCCUUCCACAUACCUACAGGAAACUCUCUCAUCUUGUGGGCUAGCUUGACAUACCCAAAACACACAUCACUACCAGCUCUACACAUACCUUGAUGAUUCCUACCAUAUUUCUGACAAAGAGGAUUAGUACAUUUACACUACCCUAGGACUUAGAGCCUGGCGCUCUAUCCCAAUUGUCAUUCCUAAACUUUGUACAAGCGCACUAGAUGAAGAUAGAGGUGGGGCUGAAAAACUUUUGAUGAAACCAAGAACGGUUACCCCCCUCUGACCUAGGCUGAGAAAAAUUAAAGCUACCAGUUCUGGCCUUCUUAUUUUCUUUUUUUUUCUCUGUAAACUUCUACUCCUCAAUCUAUUGAGCAUGGACCAUAAGCCUAGAUUCCAUCUCCUUAAUCAACAUAAAAGUCCUACACUCUUUGACCACACUAUCAGCUAUACCAGAAACAAACUUAUUCAUUCUAGAUCUAUUAUCAGCCACUAUCGAAGGAGUAUACCUCACCAGCUCAGUAAAUUGAAGCGAAUACUCUUUCACACUCAUAUUACCCUGCUUCAAAUUAAUAAACUCCAGCACCUUAGAUUCCCUUAACUUUAAAGGAAAGAACUUGUCUAAAAAGGUUAUGGAAAACUUCUCUCACUCCACAGCCCCUGCCUUAGCACCCUUAUCUUUCAUCCACUGCAUAUACCACGUAUGACCUACAUCCUUCAACUGGUAAGCAGCCAAAUUUGUACUCUCACUUGAGGUGACACCCAUAAUAUCAUUCACCUUCUAAACCAUAUUAAGAAAUUCCUGCGGAUCCUCCUCAGAUAUGGAUCUUGAAAACAAAGAAAGGUUUAUUCGGGCAAAGUCCUAAAUCCUAGUUACAGUUGUGUUGGCGACUGGAUUGACUGGGACAGCAGCCUACUAAUUUUUCUAAGCUGUUACUGAGUGAGCUAAGGAAGUGAAUGCAACUCUAAAUUUGGCAUGAGAGACAUGCUCAUUCAGGGGAUGUUUCUAAACAGGCAGAGACGCUGGUUGAUUUAUAUUUCUUCUUCCAUUAUUCUUUCUGGGAAGCAUUUUCUGUAACAAAAUAAAGAAUGGAUUAAAAAGAUAGUUUAAAUAGAGCUCAUGCUCACUUGCACGACGUGAAUACUAAAAGAAGGGAAACUUUUCCUAAAAUGUCUUGUAGCCUCUUGUCCAUAAGUGUGGUGUGCUUCACACCCAAGUACAAGACUCUACUCAACAUGGUUUUUUACACUCCCUAGGAUACUGCAAAACCUUAGGCUCUGAUACCAAGUUUUGUCAUAACCCAAGGCUACCCCCUAGUUACGACAACGGUGCUUACGGUCACAAGUGACCACAAGCUAACCCAUGAGCUGGUACCUACUGUGAGCAAUGAGUGAACUAAUAAUGAAUAACAUAUGCGAAAACAACUGAAUAAAGCCAUAAGGUUUAAAAAAACUUAAAUACUAAUAAAUAAUAAAUCUGAGCAUCUAAAAAUAUACUAAAAUGAUUGAUAAAACAACUGAUAAACUGACUAACUGUCUAUAUGUCUAAAAAGCCUCUAACUGACUGACUGGGAAGUUGAUGGGAUAAACCCCCAACUAACUCCAAACUAACUCAAAUCGAGAAAUACUGAAAUACUAAAUGAAGAUAAACUUGUCCUCGAAAGAUGAGGACUCACUGCUGCUGCAACUGCUAAAGUGCUGAACUUAUCUAAGCGCGGUCAGGAAAAUAUGCAUCCGAACUUAUAAUAUAAGACAUUAUAACGCGAAAAAAGUAUGUGGUCAGUACUUUAAAUGUACUGAUAUAUGAGAUGAGGUUGGGCUGACAUGCAUAGGUUCAUGUGCAUGAAAUACUACCUGACUGAAUAACACGAGAUAAUGAUUGAUACAUAACAUGCAUGAAAGCUGUAAAAUGUGAGAAUGUAUGACCAAACAUAUAACCUGAUACUAAAGUAGUCUGUAAACUGAAAUACUAAAAUCUGGUAACUGAAUGACUAAAAAACUAUAUGCUAUAGUCAAGCAAACCUGAAUUAAAUUCUGUAUUGAAUACUGAAAUGAGACUAUAGAGAUAGUUAUAACCAACAUGCCCCAAAUAUAUUAUUAGGGUCCAACUUGCAACCUUAUUGGAAGGGUGUCAGUACCGUUCCAUGGGUACUAAUGCUAAUUAUGUGGAUCUACUAAUCUGAUGUCCCAAAGGACUAGGGUGUCAAGACUAAGUGCGGAGGACCCCUUAAAGUCUAUAAUGGCGUCGUAGGUCAGGAAUUUAGAGACUGUUAGUAACGUCUCAUGCCUAACUGACAGGGGAGACAAGUGCCUCAUGCCUAAAUAACAGGAAGACAAGUGUCUCAUGCCUAACUGAUGGGGGCGACGCCAUCUCUACAUUCACUCGGUGCUAAAUUUUACCCCCAACUGGAAGACACUAAUUACUGGACUGAACUAAUUUUAAUUGAACCAAAAACUAAUUAUAAUAACUGACUAAAUGAUCAUGUCUAUGGUCUAUCUGAAAUUAUUUUGAAAAUACUGAAACUAUGUAAAUAGUAAAAUUUUGAGUAUUCAUAACCCCCAGCACUGAAUGGGAAUAACAAUAAGGACACAUAAAAGCUUUGAAACCAUAAUUGGGAAUCAUUAUUCAAAAUCCAUCACUUUGGCAUUUUAUCAAACAUAUGGGGUCAUGAACUUAAACAUGGAAAUGGGUAAAUCAUGUGAUAAUAAUACAGUUACAGUACUAAACCAUGAGUUAUGGAUUUAAUAUGAAAAUAUCAUCAUUUAAACGUGUAAAGGUCUCAUUCCAUCAAAACACUUGUAAACAUAAUACAUAAUUGGAAUUCAUAUGAGCUUUAUGGAGGUAAUUCAUUAUAAACAUAUAAAAUUUCAUAAUUUAACAUUAAAAGAGGAUUCUUAGGCUCCGUGGUGAAAGAAAACCAUGGAGGAAUAUCACACAUACCUUGAGAUCCUUAAGCUUAAAAGAAGAAUACAAAUCUUUAAGCUUCCUUGAAGGUUCUUGGAUUGGGGAAGUUGAUUUCUUGGUUUUCUUGGAGAGAAAGGAAUAGAAUUUGAUUAUUUUGGGGAUGAUUAGGAUUUGUUUCUUGAGAGAAAUAAGAGAAAAGUGGGAAUAAUACCCUAACCGAUGUUUAAUCUCAUGUUUUUACGAAUUGGGGUGAGGGGAAAAGACUUAAUUGCCCCUUAAAGAUUUAAAUUCGUAACUGGGACACUGAUUAUGGCUUCACCACGAUGCGCCAAGCCCCCCUUCGCUAUACCUAUCGUGUCGCGCCACUAUCGCGGUGAAGUGCUAGAAUUAAAAUCCAAACACGACUCAAUCCUCAUCCAAAAAAUUCAAAACUUCCCCGAAAUAUGCUCCCUACACCCCUGAACAUGAAUUAACUCAAAAACCUACAUCUCGGGGUCAGGAAGGUCACUUUAAAAAUCCUCAAAGUUAAGAGGCCAAAAAUAAGACUAAGUUCCCAAUACUUAAUUAAAUUUUCAGGUCCUAAGCCUCUUAUGCAUGCACUAUGAGCUGAACUAAACUAGGAAAAAGUAUGGGGUAUUACACGGGGAGUUGAAGAUCAACCCAAGAUUAAGUGGGGUAGCUUGACUUUGGCCAGUGCAUCGGAGAUAGAGGGGAAGUUGACGUCUCAAGCGGCUUGGGAGAGUAGACGAAAUGUGGACAAUAUAUGGAAGAUGAGUACCAGUUGCAUUAAGGAAAUUUCUAAAGAGGUAUUUGGUGUUUUAAAAGAUUAAUCGGGCAAGCACUAGGGGGACUGGUGUUGGAAUGAAUAAGUCAAACGAAAGGUGGAGAUUACGAAGGUGGUGUACGCUAAGUUGGUAGAGAGCAAGGAUAACGAGGAGAAGUAAAUGAAUAAAGAGAUGUAUAAGUUAUCUAGGAAAGAGGCUAAGAAAGUGGUUACAGUGGUAAAAACAGCGGCUUUUAAGAGUUUGUAUGCAAGUUUAGAGGAGAAAGGUAGGGAUAAAAAGUUGUAUAGGCUUGCCAAGGUUAGGGAGUGGAAGGAUUAUGACCUUGACCAAGUGAAGUACAUCAAGUGAGAGGAUGACAAAGUGUUGGUGGAGGAUGCCCUCAUUAGGAAGAUGUGGUAAUCUUAUUUCCAUAGACUUUUGAACGAAGACGGGGAUAAAGGUUUCAUGCUGGGGGACUUGGAGAACUCAGAGAAGUAUCACGAUUAUGGUUAUUGUAGGCAUAUCAAGGUGGAGGAGGUCAAGAGGGAUAUUCGCAGGAUGCAUAGGGGUAGGGCGACUAGGCUAAAUGAGAUUUCGAUGGGCUUUUGGAAGAGAACUAGGGGGAAAACAAAUUUGGAGUGGCUGACAAGACUGUUUAACACCAUUUUUAGGGCAGCAAAGAUGCCCAAAUCAUGGAGAUGGAGUACGAUGGUUCCUUUAUAUAAGAACAAAGGGGACAUUCAGAGUUGCAAUAAGUAUAGGGGUAUCAAGUUGUUGAGUCAUACUAUGAAAGUUUGGGAAAGGGUGGUAGAGUUGAGACUAGGGAGAAUCGCGACUAUUUCUGAGAAUCAAUUUGGUUUCAUGCGAGGUCGCUCGACUAAUAAGGCCAUUCACUUUGUGAGGAGAUUAGUGGAGCAGUUUAGGGAGAGAAAGAAGGACUUGCACAUGGUGUUUAUUGAUCUUGCUAAGGCGUAUGACAAAGUUCCAGGGAGAUUUUAUGGAGGUGCUUGGAGACUAGAGGGGUUGCCGUGUCUUACACUAGAUUGAUCCAGGAUAUAUACGAUGAUGCGAAGACUCAUGUGAGGAUAGCAGUAGGGGAUUUAGAGCACUUUCUGAUUUUAACAGAAUUACAUCAGGGAUCGACUCUUAACCCAUUUUUAUUUGCCUUGGUGAUGGAUAUUUUGACUUAACAUAUCCAAGGGGAGGCGCCCUAGUGUAUGUUAUUUACUGAUGAUGUUAUACUAAUUGAUGAAACUCAGGGUAGAGUUAAUGAUAAGUUGGAGCUUUGGAGACAGACCCUUGAGUCUAAAAGAUUUAGGUUGAGCAGGACUAAGACAGAGUACUUGGAAUGUAAGUUUAGUGAUUUGUCUCACUAGGCGGACGUGGUAGUGAAGCUUGAUUCCCAGGUCAUCCAAAAGAGAGAGUAUUUGAAGUACCUUGGGUCUAUAAUCCAAAGGAAUGGAGAGAUUGAUGAAGAUAUCACGCGUCGUAUUGGUGCAGGCUGGUUGAAAUAAAGGUUCGCUUUGAGAGUUUUAUAUGAUAAGAAGGUGCCUCCAAAACUCAAAGGUAAGUUCUAAAGAGUGGUAGUUUGACCGGCUAUAUUGUAUGGGACGAAGUGUUGGCCAGUUAAGAACUACCAUAUACAGAAGUUAAAGGUGGUGGAGAUGAGAAUCUUGUGAUGAAUGUUUGGACUUACCAGGAAGGCUAAGGUUAGAAAUGAUUAUCCGAGAGAAGAUGAGAGUGGAUUCAUGGAGGACAAGAUACAGGAAGUAAGUUUAUGAUGGUUCGGGCAUGUGAUGAGGAGGGGCAAGGAUGCACUUGUACGGAGGUACGAGAUGCUGGCUAUGGAUGAUUUUUUAUUUUUGGAGGGGUAGAGGUAGGCCUAAGAAGUAUUAGAAGGAGGUGAUUAGACAUGACAUAGAGCAGUUAUAGCUUACAGAGGACAUGACCCUUGAUAGGAAAGUGUGACGGACGCGAAUUAGGGUAGAGGGUUAGUGGGUAUAAGUACGUAUAUAGUGCAUUGGUGAUAUCUAUGUUUUUCAAAUAGAUUUCUUUUUUCGUAUUACCUUGUGCGUAUCUUAUUUCUGUUAUUAUCAUUUACUAUCUAUUAUUAUAGUAUUACCUUAUAGUUGCAUGUUUUUAUGUGUUUUGUUUGUUAUAUUGGUAGCUGUCCUGAGCCGAGGGUCUAUUGAAAACAGCCUUUCUACUUCAUCUGAGGUAGUAGGAUGGACUGCAUACACUUUACCCUUCUCAUACCCCACUUGAUGGGAAUAUACUGGGCAUGUUGUUAUUGUUGAUAUAUAUAUAUGUAUGUAUGGAUGGAUGGAUGUACGCAUACACUAAUUCAACAUGUUAUACUAAUUCAUGUGGUAAAUACAACAUUGCUAACUCGCUGCCUAACUUAUGAUAUCAAUUUGUAUGCUAAGAUACCAUCCAAAUUUAUGGUGUUAAUUCGUUAUUCAUAAAAUUUUGUAGAGGUCGUGUUAGAUGUACAAAUAGGCAAAAGAAAGUGAGUGAAUCAUUUGAUAUAGCGUGAGCAUGUUUUUGUGUGGUAAUUCUGAUUGAAAAUGGAUAUGUUGUGUAAAAAUAUGCAUAAUCAUCUUUUCUAAUUUGCAUAAUGUGUAGUUACUCUAGCAAGUAAAUUCAGAUUUCCUUUGUUUUUUUAUCGUCAAAGUGUUGAAUAAUUUUUUAUAUAAACUAUGUGCUCUUACUUUGUCAUAUAAUUCUGGAGAGAUAAAUCAGCUGGAUUUAAUCAUUAUUAUAACAAAUUCAUUGAUUUGAUGUAGUUCAAUGGUAAGUUUAGUGAACUCAAAUUUUCAAAAGUUGAUAUUGAUAUAGGUUGACCUUUAAACUAAACAAAUCAUAUUAGAGUUGUGUGGAAUCAUAUUAGAGUUGGUAAGCGAUAAAAAUGUGUUCUUAUAAAAUGUGAUUACUAUAUUUCUUACAUCAAGCCAUUUGAUACAAAGUGCAUUGCUUGUCACGCCUAAUCAAAAAAAGAAAAAACUAACGCCAUCGUUAACCGAUGCACUAAGACAUCUGUUUUUUCAUUACCUUUACCUACUUGGUUUGUUAUCAUUUUUUGUUGCCUCUUUAGAAAUUUUGAUUAAAAAAUUAUCCUUUAAGCUUCGAAUUCUAUAUUCAAGUAUAUGCUUAAUUUACUCUUAAAUUAGAUUACUAUACAUGUCACUAAAGUAGCAUCAAGUUUACAAGAAUAUUGAACUAAAAUUAAGAAUUUUCUUUUUAUUAUUUUGAUUUUUAUUUUGUAAAUAUAUAUGUACCGUCUAUAUUAUAUCAUUAGCAAUUCAAGGUUCGUAUUAAAUAAUACACAAAUAUUACUAACACUAACAUUAUUAAUACACCAUAUUUUGUAUUAUUCCUGUACCUCCACCAAUCGAUCCUUGGACAUGCAUUCACACUUAGGGGUCGUUUGGUAGAGUGUGUUAACAAAAGUAAUGCAUGCAUAGUUCUUGUGGUAUUAUUAAUGCCUUGUUUGAUACCUUUUUUGAUCUAUGUAUAACUAAUGCCUUACAUUAGUUAUACACUAUAUUGGGUAUUAGACUAUAUAUUACUAAUACCUCUCUUUUCUAUAUAUUAGUAAUACAAAACACUUUAAUACAUGCAAUAACUUAUUAAAUGACAAAUUUACCUUUCAAAACAACCAAUUUAUUUUCCCACCAUAUCUCCACAUCUUCUUCCUUCUUAAUCAAACAUUUUAUGUUCUGAUUUCCUUCUUGAUCAAACAUUUUGUUUUCUGAUUUCCUUUUUUUUAUUCCGACCAAAUUUUGUCGAUCUCAUUCUUAGGUUGUUUUGAUAGAGAGAAUACAUGAAAUUGAAUUUUCAAAGAAAAGUUGGUUUAGAGAAAAAGUAAAAAUUGGGUUUUUAAAAUUGCGAAACUUUCACAGAUUUCUUUUUGCAAUGAAAAUGAGUAAAUAAAAAUGGGAUAUUUGAGUACGAUAUAAUUGAUGGUUGCUUUCAUUUGUUUUUACUUUGUCUUGCUACAUUCUCACUCAAUUUUGAGAACAUGGAUGUACUCAUACUCAUCUUAAUUUGCAUGACAAAUAUCCAUAUUUCAUUUUUUUUUUUUUUUUUUUAUAUUUAUGUUAGAAAAUUGUUAGUUUUAGUGUAGAAAUGAAAUCUACAAAUGUAUUGCUGUGUUGCUUUUCUCUUACGCUUGAAAAGAUAGUAGUGUAUAAAAAGAUAAUUUGGUAAAUAAAUAUUUUUUUUAUAAAAAUUAAGUUAAUAUAUAUUAUUUUUAAUACAUCAAAUUAAAUAUUGUGUAUGAAAAAAUCUUUACAUAACUAAUACGAACUUAUUAAGGGAUCGUUUGAUAGAAUAUAUAAGAAUAAUACAAAAUAUAGUGUAUUAGUAAUGCUUGUGUUGGUUAUGCUUGCAUUAGUUAUGCUUAUAUUUUUCUUAUGUAGUGUUUGGUUCGAUGUAUUAAAAAAAUAUGAAUUACAUAAUUUCUAAAAAAAAUAUUUCUUUUACAUCAUACCCUCAAUAUAUACGUUGAAAAGGAUGAGAAAAUUUUUUUGAGUUGUUAAUGCAUGCAUUAGAUUCAUUGCAUUACUAAUGCCAUAAAUUUUGAGAUAUUAAUACACACUUCAAUAUAGAAUAGAGUAUAUAACUAAUACUUACAUUAGUACAUAAGGUAAAAUGUAUACCAAACAAGAUACUACUAAUACACAUUAAACUAAUAUAUACAUUAACAUUUCAAUACACUCUUCCCUGCCACACGAGCCCUUAGCCAUGUGACUGAUUCUCCCAUGGCCUCUCCAUCUCAUUGUACACAUACCCUAAUCUCCCCCUAAUCCUCUAUCUCCACUUGUCUGUGUUUCUUCCCUUGUUUACUUGGUUGUUCCCUUGUUCGAUCGAGACAAUGCCCGACACAAUUGGAGCUCCAAAUCCCAAUCCCAAUUCGAAUCCUAACAAGCGGGAGAGAGCUCCGUUGCUCAAGAAAUCCAAAAUCAUUUCCGACAAGAUACUUUUCCCUGCUGCUAGCCAUGUCUCUUCCACUCCUCUAUCCUCCGCCCGCUUCUCCUCUGAAUCUCAUAAUACCUAUUCAACUUCCACCUCCGAGAGUAGUAAUGAUGCAAAGUUUGGAUUUGGCGAUCGUGACUACGUUUAUCCCUCUUUUCUUGGACCGCAUACUACUAGGAGUAGAGUCAACGUCAAGUCAACUUCGAAAUCACAGAGGAAUCAGCUGGAAUUACGCGACUCUAUGCCUUCCGCUAAAGUGGAAUCAAAGAUGAAGCCCAAGCCGAAGCUGAAAGCUGAGAAAGAUUUCAAUGCUCUGUCAGUUCAAAUAUCAAAUCCAGCUUCUUCAGCUUUAUCAGGGCCCACUUCAGCUAACUCCUCCAAUGCUCGAAGAGCUUCUGGUCAUAGAUAUUCGUGGAUUCUUUAUUUGGUUGGUGUCUUUAUGCUUUUCCCAUUUGUAUUCUGUUAGAUUUCAUAGUAAGCGGGAAAAUUUUAAAACCCAAAAGACCUGCAGAAAAUGUGAAGUUUGCAAUUGACUUCUUUUGUGUAAAAAGUUUAGGGGAGCUAAGAAAAUGUUACAUAAUGGUGUACAGUACUCCAACUAUCUCAUUUUAUACCCUAGCGAUUGACUGGAUACAUAUUUUGAAAUGUUUAUUUUGAGUUCUAUAUAUUAUGUUAGUGAUGCUGGAGAAACAAUUUAAGCAAUUGUGACAAGUUGGUUUUGUAAAGAUUACCCCCUAGUUUAAAAUUUGAAUAGUUUAAUGUAGUUGAUUUUUUUCUAUGUAUGAAAUUUUAUAUAGAAAUGAAUAAUGUCAAACAUUUUAAGACGUCCUAGAGAGGAAAGAAUGUUAUAUAAAUUGGACGGAGAGAGUACAAUUACUUUUUUGGUGAAUGGGAACUUGUUGCCCAUCCAAUCUUUCUUUUUUUAUAAUGAAUGCCCAUCCAAUCUCUUUUUGUCAUAAACCUUUAUGAUUUCAAUGCAUUGAUUUUUUUGGUUCUUCUUGAUAUAUUGAUCAAUUAUUUCCAUUUAUUGCAGCUUAAGUUUGUUUGUACAUUAUCUGUAUCUCACACGGUAUAUUUGAGGAAUGAAGUCUCUAAGCUUCAGGUAUGCUCUCCAUGAACUCUCUUAAAAUCGUGAGUUCUUUUCACUCUAGUCUUCUUUCACAUAGUUUUCAAUUGCUGCCUAUUAAAAGAAACCCGUAUACUACUUGUUACCAAAAUUUCAAUUGCUGCCUAUUAAAAGAAACUCGUAUACCACUUGUUACCAAAAUUACAAUAAAAUAAAAAGAGCCACUUCUUAUUGGAAGAAACAGUCAUAUUAACCACUCAACUUGUAGCACCCAAGGGCGUGGUCUUGUGGUCAAUGAAGUGGAAUGAGAACCAUGAAGUCUUAGGUUCAAAUCCCAGCAGCGACAAAAAACACUAGGUGAUUUCUUCCCAUGUGUCCUAGCCUUGGUGGUCAGAGUUUCCUGGUAUUUGCUGUUGCUGGUGGUAGGUAUCGGGUGGAAUUAGUCUGGCGCAAAAGUUAGCCCAGACACCACGUUUAUUUAAAAAAACCACUCCACUUGUACUCAAUUUUUGAUCUCUCAUGUAAUUAAAUAGUUGGUUCUCAGUAUAUAGGAAGGUGAGGAUUGAUUUUUUUUUUGCAGGAGGAGAAUAUUAGUCUUCGUAGAGUUUGUAGUCAUGUUGAUCUUGCCAGCGCUGGUAUCAAGGAGUUUGAAGAAGUUAAUUCAUUAGUAUAUUUCAGUACUGCUGGCAGUAGAACUGUUGCUCUGUACAUGGCGGUGUUCAUUCUUGUCAUUCCUUUUGCCUUGUACAAAUAUCUUGACUAUCUACCGAGAAUAAUUGAUCUCUUGAAGAGGAAAUAUACCAAAAAGGAGGAGGUUCCACUGAAGAAAAGGAUUGCAUACGUGGUGGAUGUGUGUUUCUCAAAUUACCCUUAUGCAAAGCUGCUUGCACUUCUUUUUUCCACUCUCUUUCUAAUUGGAUAUGGAGGACUGGCACUUUAUGCUGUUGGUGAUGGCAGCUUUACUGAAGCUAUUUGGCUUUCUUGGAGCUUCGUAGCAGACUCUGGAAACCAUGCUGAAAUGGUUGGUGCAGGGCCAAGGAUAGUUUCAGUUCUGAUAAGCUCAGGAGGCAUGCUCAUAUUUGCUAUGAUGCUGGGGCUUGUUUCAGAUGCUAUUUCAGAAAAAGUGGAUUCCUUAAGGAAAGGAAAGAGCGAGGUGAUUGAAAGUAAUCACAUUCUUGUUCUUGGAUGGAGUGAUAAAUUGGUAAGUCUAUAGGAAAUUGCUUAAAAUGUUGUGAAUUUUUGAAGUAUUAUCUUGCGUUUGCUCUUUAAUUGGGCAGGAAAAGGGUAGAAAGAUUGGAUUUGGAUGGAUCUACAUUUGAUAUGGGGUAAUCUAUAUCCAUUCAAAAUCCAAUCGGUCAAUAUGAUUCGUAAGAAAGUUUGAUCUAGAUCCAUCAUUUUUACAAUCCAUUUGAUCCAAGCAUAUUGGACACUAAUGAAUUUGUUGGAUUUGAAUAUAUACAGCCACAUAUUAAUUCACAUUCACCUGCAUGGAAUGUGCAACAUGGUUGUACUGUUGGACUUAAAACCUUCCCUUGAGUCAAUAAUCUAAGUUGUUAGCGAGAUUUAUUCUUCAUAGAUGUUAGUUUGUUUACAGGAGUACAUUUUAUUUCUAGUUAAGAAUUUUCAGCUGCUAACUGAGCUUUCUGUGUGCUUGAUUCUUUUCCUACAUGACAAGUACAAUGAAAUACUUAAGUAAUGGUGCUUUUGGCAAGGUAAAUAGGCUUGAUAUAGGUUUGAUUUAUAAAGUAUCUUACUUUGUAUAAAAAAGGCUUGUUAUAGUUUUGGUUCUUUAUUAAUAACGAGUAAAGAGAUGAACAGAGGAAAAGAAGUAGCAAAACUACACUAUACAGGAAAGAAUAGAUUUUUAAUUUUCAUUACCUUCUUAAUUAUCCGGUAGUAUGAAGAUCUGUUAACAAUAGACAUUGCAAGUAAUACCUUUGGUUCUUGAGAGAUCUUAUUGGAGAAAAGAAAAGAGAUACUUCUAGAAUAGCUGUGAGGCCAUACACUUCUGUUUCUGUUAGCUGGAAACAUCAAUUGGUGUUGCCUUCACUAGAUGGAAGGAAUUAUCUGCUUUUGAGACUGAUAAUGACACGGAGGGCUAACAGUAUUUUCUUAUUACAGGGGUCACUUUUGAAGCAGCUAGCAAUAGCAAACAAGAGUAUUGGUGGUGGUGUUGUCGUCGUUCUUGCGGAAAGAGACAAGGAGGAGAUGGAGAUGGACAUAGCAAAGUUAGAAUUUGAUUUCAUGGGAACUUCAGUUAUCUGCAGAAGUGGAAGUCCACUAAUACUUGCUGAUCUGAAAAAGGUGCGAGAGCAUAUCUUUUCUCUUUCCCCUGUUGACCUUGGUGCUCCCUCUUAUCCUUUAGUCACUUUUUCCUUUUCUUCAUUGUCCUAAUAUCCUAAUUUACUCUAUGAAGUAAAAGUAACUAUUAUCUAAGAGUUCAACUAGUAUCUUAUACCCUUCUUGAAUUCCCUUAACCUUUUUUUAUUGCUUCUUUAUUAUAGUUCUUUCUUUUUGUUUUUGUUCUUCUAUGACGCAUGCAGGUAUCAGUCUCUAAAGCACGGGCAAUCAUUGUCUUAGCAUCUGAUGAGAAUGCUGAUCAGGUGCUUUUUCCAAAUCAUUUUUCAAGCUCUAAACAACCAGAUAAUUCGGACUAAUUAUUCCAAUGUUUUCUUCUUAUUAGAGUGAUGCACGCGCUCUAAGGGUUGUACUUAGCCUAACUGGAGUACGAGAGGGGUUGAGAGGUCAUGUUGUUGUGGAAAUGAGUGAUCUCGACAAUGAACCCUUAGUGAAGCUUGUUGGUGGUGAACUUAUUGAAACAGUUGUUGCGCAUGAUGUGAUUGGAAGGUUGAUGAUACAAUGUGCUUUGCAGCCUGGCCUUGCUCAGGUCAGUUAUGUAUUACAUUAUUUUUUCAUUUUUCUCUUCCUUGCUUUGGCAGACUUUUACCACUAAUGUUGUCGUCUAGACAUGCUGUGGUCCCUCAGGUUCCUCUUAUAUCUAUUGGCUAAGGGCUAUAAUUAUUAGUUUUAAAUUCAACAAGAAAAGGUAAGAAUUGCCCUUAAACUUAUGUGAAAUUGAACAAAAAUGUCAUCCAUUAAUAGUUUGGUCCAAAAAUGCCCAGUUGUUAAUAGUUACUCAAAAAUGUCUCUAAUGUUACUUAAUUAGGUCAAAAAUGUCCUUUUCCCAAUAAGUAUAUUGUUUUUUUUAAACACAUUCUUUUCCUAAUAGAAAUACUAGUAUUAAAUACCCAUUUUUUUUUAAUCAUGGUGUCUGGGCUAGCUUGCGCGCACCUCGACUAAUUCUUCGAGAUACUUGCCACCUUCCACCAGUAACAUGUACUAGGUAACUCUGUCCAUCUAGGCUGGGAAGAAAUCACCUAGUGUUUGUCGAGGCUGGGAAUUGAACUGAGACCUUAUGGUGCUCGACCAAUACAUUAAGUGUACUUAAAUUAUCAGUUAAAAAAGUACAUUUAAGUCGUACAUUUUGUGCAUAUAUCUAAUAUUGUUAUAGUUCUAAAAACACUUUCGUGCCUUGAAUUAUGCAUAGUUCUCCUGAUCCUCUUUGAUUUAAUAGUACUUUCUUCGCCCAAUUAAACAAAUAUUGUUAUAUCUUGCAAAUAAAUAUUUAUUUUGCUAAUUUUGUUUUAGUUGCCAAUUUAUUGAACCUAAGAUGGUUAGAUGGACAAUGCAAAAUUAAUGACGAUGACAUUACUAAUAAUAUACUUUCUAUUAUGAUUAAUAUUAUUGUUUGCAAUAGAUAAUAAUUUGAAAUGAUUUUCAAAACUUGAACUUCUUUGUCGACAAUAAACUUUCUUUAUUUUAAUUAGUAUAUAUGUGAAUACUUCUAAUUCUAAUAAGCAAAAAACCAAAGGCUUACCUGUCUAAGUAAUUGUCGUAACCUGCAAGAAUUGUACAAAAAAUUUACUUAAGAUGUACUCGCACUGCCCCAAUUUAUGUGGCAUAGUUGAAAUUUCGAAAUCAUACUCUUGAUCUUGGACUCUGAAUUCGAAUAGAGAAGCUUUAAGCUUCUUUUGAAAUAAAAUUUAUAUGUUUGAAAAAUACAUAAAAAGAACUGUGAGAAAUAUAGGUGAAGAAUAUUAUUGAAUUGUGGUUUCUACAUUAUUACAUUGAGACCCUAUUUAUAGACACUAAAUUACUCCUUUUCCGACUAGGAGACUACUACACUAUACUCCUUUUUUCAACUAGGACAUUACAUUGCAAUCCUUUUUCAAGUAGGAUUCUAUUUACUAUUCCUAUUUCUACUCAUAUUCUAACACAUCCCUCAAGUUGGUGCAUACAAGUCAUAUGUACCAAGCUUUUUACAAAUGUAAUAACUACGAGAAUUAAGGAGGGACUUGAUGAAGAUAUUUGCAAAUUUAUCACUUGACUUUGCAAAUUUUGUAGUAAUAUCUCCUGAGGGUAUCUUUUCUUUGACAAAAGUGACAAUCAAUCUCAGUAUGCUUAUCCUCUCAUGGUAAACUUGGGCAAUUAGUGAUGGGAAUCUUUGCCCAUCUCUUGACAAUGUGAUGUUUGAUUUUUUUGUUGGUCUCCUCAUUAAAGUUUUAGACUUAAUCAUAGGACUAAAUCGAAAUAAGUGAUUAAUGUUUGCAGAAGUUGUACUAAUUCGUUGAAAAAAUCGAAAGGCGUCUGAAAAGUAGUCUCAACCUGAGACAAUUAUAUGGGUAGAGUCGGAAUGAUGGAACGAUCUUAUUGAGAAAGAGAAAAUUGUAUGCGUAGGGUCAGAAUGACGGCACAAUCCUAUUGAAAAAGAGAGAUCAUAUGGGUAGAGUCGGAAUGAAGGCACGUCCGCACUGAAAAAGCGAAAUUAUAUGAGUAGGCAUCGGAAUGACGGCAUGACCCUACGGAAAAAGAGAAAUUAUAUAGGUAGGGUCGGAAUAACGACACAACCCUAUUGGAAAGGAGAAAUUAUAUGAAUAGGGUCAGAAUGAUGACACGACCCUACUGAAAAAGAAAAAUUAUAUGGUUAGGGUCAGAACAAGGUUGUACAAACCGAAACCAGUGCUUCCCAAAAGUAUCCUCCAAGAAACGAAGGUAAACCAAAUACUACUUCUCGUCCUAAGGGAUUUCAAUGUUUUAAAUGUCAAGGGUGGGGGCACAAGGCUAGUGAUUGCCCAAACCGGAGGAAUGUAAUCCUUAGGUAGGGAAAAUUGUAUUACCUUGGUGAGGAGGUAGGACUUGAAUUGAAUGAGGGUGAUGAAAAAGCUCAAGAUGGAAAGCUUGAGGCCGAGGUGGAAAUUGAUGAAGGUGGGGAAAAUAUUUGGCCGGUGGAUGGAGAGUGUGUUGUGCCUAUGUAUAUGGCAAGGAGAAUCAUGCUUAGUGAGGUGAUGGAAGAAGAAGCCGAGAGUAAGGAGGGUGAAGAAGAGAAGUCGAGAGUUAGGAUUGUGGGGUUUGCCCACAAGGACCCUUUGAUUCCUACUAACCAAGAUGCUAACACUUUGCCUAGCAUCCUUUCUUCUUAUGUGCAGGUUAAAGAACAUUUAAGUUCAAGUAGCAAGCUUGGAUGACCUCAUGGAACCCUUGGUUGAGCAUCCUAACCUUGGGAGGAACAUUGAAAAGAUGAUUCAAAGAGGAGAGCUUGCGGGUGAUGAUUGCUUGAAUUUGUGGACAAAUUCCUCUCAAGAUGGAGAGGAUGAUACAAGUGCAAUCAUGUAGAUGAACUUAUGAGGAUGUAUAUUGAAUUCGUACAUGUGUGUGUGCAAGAGAAGUGGAAUUAAGGGCUUAAAACAUAUCAAAAUAACCACUAAUUCACACUAGAGGGGCACCUAAUCUCUAAGGGGCACUUUGGACUUUUUGCCUUCUAUUUGUAAUACACUAUAGAAGAAACAUUUUAGGGUUACUUUACUUAGUUUUUUGAUAUUGAAGAUUGUAUUAACACACUUGUAAAACACAAAUUCUCUCUUCCAUAGAGACUUGGCUGAAACUAGGAAACUACUUAGGUGUGGAAUCACUUUUGUUGUUUGUUUGCUUGGAUCGUUGGGUGCUAGACGGAUUGAGGUUCUCUUUUGUGUCCACCGCACCGCGUAGGUGUUUCUACUAUCUUUAUCAAGGGUCUUUGUGCUUGAAUACACUUAGGUUCUUGGUCUUUGUAGUAGUGUAUGUCACACUCUCUAUCAUUUCCUUUGUUGUAAUCUUGUAUCCGUGUGGUGUAUUGUUUCUCUUGUAACCCGUGUGUUGUUAUUAUUACAUUAUUGUUGUCCAUCCUGUUCUUCAUAAAUUGUUGUUAAUAUUAGUUUGGGUCUCUGAUUUGGUGUCAAAUGCACCACGAAAUCUUGUUGUUGGUAGUGAAUUCGAGAGUGGUCAUCAAAAGGGUCCACGGUUCUUUCAACUUGUGGACUGAUUUUGGUGUUGUUUGUGUGUUCCUUGUUGAUCUUAUAUCAAUUUAUCACACAAAGGUGGGGUGUCAUACAAUGGAUCACAAUUAAAAUCACUUUCAUAAGAACAAUCACUAAUUGGGGUUCUUAAGCACUUAAGCAAAUCAAAAUCAUCAUAACCCAAUUGAUCGUUCUUUUUCAAAAGUAGGAGAUUACCAUCAAGAAUAGGAUGGUUAACAUAAUCUUCACUCAACCCUUUAUUCUUAAUGGAUUUCAAGAAAUAGGGUAACAAGUGAAUCUUAAGCAUACCACCUUUCUUUUUAAACACAUUAUCUUGCGCUUCACUAGGUGUCAUACAAGGAGUGAUCUCACUAUUUUCACACAAGACAUCUUGUUUUGAGAGAAAUUCACUAUUCAAAGUUAAUGAGUUUAAGCAUACAAGUUCACUCUCACAAAGACAUAUGCUUUGCUGCACAACAUCUUCAUCCAUAUGAUAUCUUUGAGCAAAACUAUCAUUAAGGCCUUCAUGACACAAUAUGCUCAAAGAACCAUCUCCAUUCUCAUGAUCAACUCUGUCAACAUUAUCACUAACUUGAGACUUACCAAACACACCACACACAUGCUCAAGUAGUGGACUACAUUUGUGAGUAAGUUGAUCAUCAUUCACAACCUCACUAGUCGUUGGCAGCUCACGUACCAAUGUAGACUCACCUUGCUUUUCACAAGGGUCAACUAGUGUGUGAAUACUCAUCGCUUGGUAAUGGAACCUUAUUCAAGUUAUAAGUGCUAGCACUAGAUGGACACAAAUCAUUCUUACAAAAAGAAUCGAUUUUGUCAUCUAAAGGAUCAACUAGUGCUUGCAUACUCACAAGAAGAGUUUGGUCCUUAUGCUACCUAACAACACCAAGAGCAUCACAAAAGGAAGAUUCAUACACUUCUACUCUAUGCAAAUCCAAAACUACACUACUUUGGCCACUACUAGCCACAUCACAACAAUUCAAGUUUCUAGGAGUGUAGAAGAUAGCUUUGUUACCUCGUAGAUCAUGGGAAGUGUGUUCUUUACUUGGUUUUGCACCAUGGCAGCCCUCAUGCUCUCCAUCUUGAGGUUCGGCCUCAUUCUCCUUGGAAACCAAAACUUGGUAAUUCGGAUUUUGAGGUAGCAUUUGAGUUUGUGGAGGUUUUAGUGGACAUAGUCUAUUAACACUCGUUUUUAUUCUAAUCAUGUCACCUUUCAUUAAUCCCAAAUCACCCUUCAUGGAUCCAAUAUUCGAUUGCAUCAUCUUUAUUUCAUGGUCGAUGAAGUCAAGUUGAGCCAAAAUUACAUUAGCAACAUCAUUUCCCAAAGUUUGGGAAGUAGUGCCCUCGGAUUCCAUAGCUCAAAUACCUUAAAUCAGCAAAGAACAAAAUCCUACAAAAUAAACAAACAAGUUAGUUCAAAUAGCCUCACCAACUCUCUCACUUGAUUCUUACCUCACACUUUGUUUCACAAGUGUUGAUUCUUUGGCACGUACUAGGCAAGUGAAUGAGGGUUGAUUCUACCUUGGUCCGAAAUUGAUUUUUGUUUGAUAUUAUUCAAGUAAAAAUGAUGUACGAACUUGAACCAACAAGUUACUACGACUUAUAAACAAGAAAAGCACACAAAAAGCGAAGACACGAACAAAAAGACUCAAGACUAAUUAUCAAUCUAGUAGGAAGUUACUAGUUUGCUAAUUAGUGGUAGAAUCAACUCAAAACAACUAGAAACAACAAAUAGAAACUUAGAAAUCUAGUUAAGAACUCAAUUUGGUCGUUUAUACAAGUGAUAGCGUGGCAGCUUGUAAUUGGGCGUCACCUUUCAAAAAUUUUCAACUUUCAAAUUCUUGUUUUCAGCCAAACACUCCUUUAGGGAAGAAGAAUUUCGGUUUUAGAGGGAAAAAUGAAGGUUUGAAGCCUUUUUUGGAGCUUCAAAUGAAUUCAAAAUGGAUUGGUUCCCUCAAAUGUACUUUCAAUUGUACUUGCUUGUCCCCUUGUCCCCUUUUCUUUUUGGAAGACUUAGAAUAUGCUAGGAAAUAUUGUUGUACAAACACUUAGUACACUCUCUUUGUUCUCCCUUUUUGGAUAUCAAACAAGCUACUUGAAUAUUCUUCUUCAACAAGAUUUGAAGAUGGUGGAUGAACAAUAUGAAUAUUUAAGAGUUGACCACGGUUUGACCACCAGGCAAAUGAAACCCAAAUUCAAAUUUUCUUUUAGAUCUAGGUUCCCUUUGCCAAGACAAGCACAAACAACAAUAAAUCAGCCACAAAAAGCGCCACACACAAGGUAUCCACCACGAGACCCCACCUCAAAAGCUUCAAAAAGUCACAAAAAUGGUGGAUCUAGCUAAAAAACAACCAAAUCUUGUUCCAAACGUAGAUCUAGACUCUCUAGGUGCUAGGGAACAAGUAUCUAGCACUUGAAACCAACAAAACAACACAAAAACAAGUAGAUCUAAGAUUUAAAAUGCUGCCCAAGCACAAAAACGUGAAACACCUAUUUUUUUUUUCUCGACUCUAGACUCUUUUUUUUUUGUGGAGAUUUUCUUAGAUCCCAGGCUUAAAGUUGUGGGAACAACUCUAAUACAUGUCUCUUGAUACCAAAUGAUACAAGAAUCUAACCUAAAACUUGAACAAAAAUGUGAUAACACACUAAGAAACCAAAAAUAUGCAACUAGAGAAGAGUAGAUGAAGAAGAGAACACACAGAUUCAAACCAAAAGAAGAGAAAAUUGCAUAAAUGUAAAUGAUAGAUAGUGAGAUAUACACCCAAUGAAUAGCACCAAGAUGUGUAUCAAACACCAAGACACACAACACCAAUGGAGUAUAACACCACACUUUUAGGUGGACACAAAGGGAUCAACUCCUCAAGCACCCACCUUUCUUGCCAAAAUGUCAACUCAAGUGAAUCCACACUCAAGCUAACCCUAGUUUCAAUGUCUUUUCCAAGCCCUACACUAAGGAAAGAAAAUACAAUUUGAGUUUCACUCAAUCAGUUCUUUGAAACUAUGAAAAGUAAAGGCCUAAUUGUCUAUUUAUACUUAUUACAAACAAAGACUAAAAUACCCUUAAUGAAGGGUGCUCCUUUGGAAAGAGAGCCAUCAAACGACAAUAUUGCCCUUAAUGAAAGCCCCUGAAUUAGGUUCCUAUGGAGUGUUGUUUUUGAGUGUAAGAAGUCCAUAAUGCCUUCAAAAGAAGAGGCGCCCCUUGAGUGUGGGAACCCUUUUCCUCUCUUCACUUGGACAAGGCUGUGAAAAGGCUCCAAAAGGUCUUCAAUCUCUUGCAAAUCCGAAGCUUGAACCUUUGAUAAGUCCUUGUAAUCCUUGUGCUCUUUACGCUUGUAUCACCUAAUUUCAUAGUGUAAUUCAGUGUGAAUGCUGCAUAAUUAACAUAAUCAUUUGUUCAAUUUUGUUGAUUUGAUCUAUAAGUUGCUCGGACUCGGGUGCGGGUGUCCGAUACGGGUACAGAUCUAGAGGUCGGAUCCUUCACUGUCUCAAUUUAAAAAUUCGAGAAUAUGGAUCUAGGGAUGGAUACGGGUGUGGGGAUUUGGCGAAAAAUAAUUUAAAUAUCUAAAAAUAGAGUUAUAAAACAUAAAUUUUAAGAUAUUAUGUGGAAAACUUAAGGAGAAAUUAUUUUUCAAGAAGAAAAUCCUGAAAGGAGAUAAAAAGAAAAGCAAUAACAUAGAAAUUUCUAUAUACAAGGUAUUCCAUUUUUCUUGAAUUUCACCUUAGCUUUUAUUUUGAUUAUAGAAUUUCUUAAAUUGUCUUGACUUUCCAAGUCAAUUUUGGUCAAAGUACCCAAAAUCGGUUGACCAUUUCGGGUACGGAUCCCACAUCCACACCCACACCCAUGUCGUGUCGACACGGGUGCAUCACCGAAAGUGAAGAGUCUGAGUAACUUGGGAUUUGAUACUUAGUUAAUUCUUUUAUCUUUAUGUUUCCACUGAUACCUAAUCGAUAACGAACUUGAAUGGCUUUUUUAGGGCCAAUUCCAUCAAUUUUGGUUGAGGCAAUUCUUACUUGUUCAUCGCCAACUAAUCUAGCUCCUGAAAUAUAUAACAUUCUUGAUCCUUUCUUUUACUAGUCUUCUCGGCUGGAAGGAUAAAUGGACUGUCUCCUCUCUGAUGAUCUUUUCUAUAGGUAGAACUACUGUGAGCGGUCUAAACUUCGACCCUUAUUUCUUUCUUCAUAUUGUAAAGGGGAUCACAUUGGUGGAAAUAUACGCCAAUAUGUCUCCAGCUUGUGUUUCAAUGACGGGUAAGGCGGUCAAGCUACCUGCACCUUUUACCUUUAGUAAUUAAAAAAAAAAGGAGAAUAAGACCAAAAGCAACCAACACAAAGAGAGUCCUAACAGAUGACAGAAUGGGAAGACAAAAGAUGUAGAAGAUCAUAACAUGAAUGAUUUGGUAGAUUCAUUCAUAUAUAUAUAUAUAUAUAUAUAUCCAUGUACUACUUCAUCGUAUGGUAUAGAGAAGAUCCAUUUCUAUAGAUAUCAUCAUCAUUAUCCAGAAAGCCCUAUGCUUUGGAACAAGCUCUAAAAAGAGUUGGGAAAUUGAUCAAAAGAAGAAUCUACUUUGAACGGUAUGCCCUCAGGCAUGACCAUACAUAAGACAAAAAUCACCCUCAGAAAAGGGGGAAAAUUAGCUAGAGCAACGGAUGAGAUGGUACCAGAGUCAUUCAAAGAACCCUUCUUUCUAUUCUGUUUUGUGCGUGUCAUCUAUUGACUUUAUGCCGUCAAAGCCUGCUAACAAGAAAAAAGAAAUGCAAGUACAUACAAUUGCAGUAAUGCCGCAUCAUUGAUAAUGAACCUUGCCAUCCCUAGUUUAGUCCCUUGAAUCAAGUUCAUGGCAUAUUCCCCUUCCCCUUUAAAUCCCAAAAGUUGAUUCAAUAGGCUUUCUUUAUUGAUUCAAAAAGCUUCUUCCCCGCGACAUGUACACUAAGGUUAGUUUCCAUAGGCGGAAUGGCAACCUCAUUCAUCCAUUCUAACAACUCAUUGCCCUAUUUUCUCUAGAUCCAUUCUAUUUAAUGACCGAGACCCAUACAUAAGAUCGUUCUAGCUUAUGUCCUUCUAAGGAAGUCUGAGCUCUUUCCCAUGCUAAGAGCCUUUUUAAACUCUUGAACUUAAGAAAGGCCUUUUUUCAAGCCGAGUAGAAAUUAAGUAUAAAGCUAUGUUGCUUGGACUCUUCAAAAGUGUCAAUAAGUGCGUGUCGAAUUCUCCAAAAGUAGUGUAUUUUUGGAGAAUUCGACACAGGUGCAACAUCAAAAGUGAAGAGUCCGCACAACUUAGGUAUAAAGAAAAUGACAAGAAAUCUCACACGGAGAUCAAUGUACCCAUACAUCUAUAUGACAAAUAGAUAUAUGAAAAUUCAAUAAAUUUGUUUUCAAAAACCCAGGAUUUCAUAGGCGAACGACCAAAUAAAGGUUCCCCAAGUAAUCCGUGGCGGCCGACAAGCUCUCCAUCGAGCUGCGAUUUCCCUUUUAUCCUAAUGACAAAAUCGGAUUCAUAGGUUGUUUCUCUUCAGAUGAAGACGUACUGUUGUAGUCACAAAGGUUUCCACCCUACAUCAUCAUUUUCAUAUAUAUAUAUAUAUACACACACACACAUUUACUAUUACUAUUACUAAUAUAUAAGCUGCUUAGGAAGCAAUUGGAGGUUGUCCUCCCAGCUUGCCGACCAAGUCUACUUAUAUAUAUUAUAAUCCUCCGUUUUAAUUUAUUUGUCUUAUUUUUUAUCUGUUAUGUAUUUUAAAAUUACAUAAAAAUUACUAUAAAUUACAAUAAUUAACGAUUUAAGAUAUUUGAAGGAUAUGAAAAGAUUUGUUGACUCUCGAAAUUUUAUCAGCCACAUACCAGUUUGCCGACCAAGCCCACUUAUAUAUAUUAUAAUCCUCCAUUUUAAUUUGUUUGUCUUAUUUUUAUUUGUUAUAUAUUUAAAAAUUGCGUAAAAAUUAUUGUAAAUUACAAUAAUUAACGAUUUAAGAUAUUUGAAGGACAUAAAAAUAUUUGUUGACUCGAGAAAUUUUAUCAGCCACAUAAAUUGUGACAUAGGAAGUAACAUAUACUAUUUAAAAGUAACAUUAAAAAUUUCAUAAAUCAUUAAAUUAAUAACUUAAAAUAUUAUUGACAUAUAUAAAACAUUUGAUUGAUUUUUUUAUAUACUAUCACAAUCACAUAAAUUAGGAUAGUACACAUAUUAUUUGAAAAUAAUAGAAAGUACUAUAAAUCACAAUAAUUAACAACUCAAAAUAUGUAAAAUUAUAUGUGAAAAAUUUGGUUGACUCUCUAAACUCUAUCAGUGUCACAUAAAUUGAGAUACAGAGAGCAUAUUUAUCUAAAAUUUAUGUAAAAAUACUAUAAAUUGCAGUAAUUAACAACUUACAAAGUUUAAAGAUCAUACAAACAUCUACAAAUUAUAUAGAAAAUUUGGUUUGACUCUCUAAGUUACAUCAAUGACACAUAAAUUCAAACAAUGAAAGUAACAUGUAUUGUCUAAAAAUUAUAUAAAAAGAUAGUAUAUCAUUAACAACUUAAAAUAUUUAAAGAUCGUACAAAAAAUUUGAUUGACUCCAAAAUUUAUCUAUACCAUAUAAAUUGAGACAAAAAAGUAACACAUGUUGCACGAGCGGGUAAACUACAUAAAUAACCCUGAUAAUGCAUGGCUUUGUUUUUUGGUCCCUUAUAAAAAAAGUCCUUCUAUACUAGUCUCCCUUAUUUUUUAUAUGUAGAACAAUUACCUAUUUGCCCCUCUAUAUCUCAAAUAUUGCUAAACAACUCCAUAUUUAUUUAUCUUUCAAUUUUUUUUUCUCUUUUUAAUUUUAUUUUUAUUUUUAUUUUUUUCUUUUCCCUUUUUUCCCUUUUUUUUUCCUCCUCUCAACUUCUAUUUUUUUAAAUUUUUAUCGCUUUUUUAUUUUUUCUUUUCUAUUUAAUUUUUCUCCGCUUUAACUUAUUGUUUUUUUUUCUUUUCUAUUCUAUUUAAUUUUUCUCCGCUUUUAUUUUUUUUUCUUUUAUCUUCUCAACUUCUAUAUAUUCUUUUUAUUUUCUUUGAUUUCUAUUUUUUUCUUUUUAAAUAUCUUUCUUUAUUUUUUUCCCGCAACUUUUAUUAUUGUUUUUUUUUCUUUUCUUUGAUUCGUUUCCAAACAACAAGUUACGCCCCAUGAGCAAGAGUUGACACUACCACAUUGUGUUUUGAUUUAUAAUAUGUUCUACAACUCUUAUCUUAGAGGCAAGACUUUAGCUCAAGGACGUUCAACAAUAACACUACCCCAAUUUGUCUUGAUUUAUAAGAAGUUCUACAAUUAUUGUCUUAGAGACACGACUUAUCCGAAAGAAUUUCAAACAAGUUAUGUACAUUUGGCAAGAGUCAACACUGCUAUGUUAUAUUUUUUACUUAUGAAAUGCUCUAUAACUCUUGCCUUGAGGCAAGACAUAACCCAAAAACCAUCAAACAACAAGUUAUGCCCCAUUGGCAAGAGUUAACACUGCCAUAAUGUAUUGAUUUAUAAGAUGCUUUAUAACUCUUUCCUUAGAAGCAAGGCUUAGACCUAGGGCUUUCAGGCAAUAAAUUACGCCCCAUGGGUAAGAGUUGACACUACCACAUUGUAUUUUAAUUUAUGAAAUAUUCUAUAACUCUUGUCUUAGAGGUAAGACUUAACCAAAGGAUUUUCAAACAACAAGUUACGCCCCAUGGAUAAGAGUUGACACUACCGCAUUAUAUUUUGAUUUAUGAGAUGCUUUAUAAAUCAAGGACUUUCAAUCAAGAAGUUAUGUCCCAUGGGCAAGAGGAGAUGCUUUAUAAAUCAAGGACUUUCAAACAAGAAGUUAUGCCCCAUGGUCAAGAGUUAACACUACCACAUUAUGUCAUGAUUUAUGAGAUGUUCUAUAACUCUUGCUUUAGAGGCACAACAUAGUCCAAGGAUUUUCAAACAACAAGUUACAUCCCAUGGAUAAGAGUUGACACUAUCACAUCGUGUCUUGAUUUAUGAGAUGUUCUAUAGUUCUUGUCUUAGAGGCCAGAGGCAAGACUUAGCUCGCAAGAUUUAACUCAAGGAUUUUUAAAUAACAAGUUAUGCCCCACGAGUACUUCCAAACAAUUAGUCAUGCCCUUAAAUUUGCUUUGAUGUCAAAGAAAGAAGAUCCCUUUGCGGAUUAUCCAAUUUUCUAUUUAUUAGCAAAACAUAAAAUAAGUCGAGAAAAAAGAAAAAAAGAAAAAAGAAAGGAAACAAAAUAGAGAAAAGUAAUAAAAGGAUUGAGAUAAAAAGUAAAAAAGAGAAGAAAAAAAUAAAGAUUAAUAAAAAAAAAUAAAGAAAACAAAAAUGAGAAGAAAAAAAAUAAAAAAUAAAGUUUGAGAAAAAUGAAAAAAAAAGUAAAAAUGAGGAAUGAUAAAAACAAAAAAUAAAAGAAAAAUAAAGGUUGAGACAAAUGAAUUAAAAAAAGAAGAAAAAAGAGAAAUGAAGAAAUAGAUAAUGUUUGAGAAAAAAGGGAAAAAAGAAGUAAAAGAAAAAUAAAAGUCGAGACAAAUGAAUUAAAAACAAGGAAAAAAGUCAAGGAAAAAUAAAAAAGUAAAAGAAAAAUAGAAGAUGAGUGAUAAAUGAGCAUUGAAAGUUUAAAAAUAUUUGAGGUAUAGAGGGGCAAAAUGUACUUGUUCUAUGCAUAAAAAGGAAGGAAGACUAGUCUCUCAAAAAUCCAAAGCCACCCAUUAUGAGGGCCAUCCCAUGUAAUUUCCUGACGUCUAGUAUAUGUAUGUAUGUAUUUAUGUAUGUGUGUGUGUAUGUGUUAGGAGAGAAUUUCAAGAUUGAUUUUGAUGUAAACAUUUUGCUUCAGUUACAUGUGGUCACUGGAUCACUGGGUAUGUUGUUGUGGUCACUGGAUCACUGGAUACAUUGAUUUUGUUGUUAUUUCAUACUCUCGAAAUUGAUGCCCCAUCUGUUUGGGGCUGAAGAUCCAUUAUAAGGUUGAGACUUCUCUUCCCUUCAGUGCUAUUUUAGGGCACAUGCAUUCCCUAGCUACAAUGAAUGAUACUCUCAAACUUGCAUCUGCAUACUGGUUUGUUAUUUUCAGUUAAGGCUUAGUUGCUACACCUUUGUCCAGAUGGAGUAGAAAGAUGGAAGACGAUUAGAGUCAUUUACCAAAUUGUAUUGGGAACCAUAAUGAUACCCACAUGGCAUGCCCACUUAAUUUUUACAACUGAAUAUGGAUGAGCAGACUCAUUGUAGAUAACAAUAAUAUUGAAUUUUCCUAUUGAUUGAAUGUUAAAAUAGUGUCGAUUUCUUCAAUUUUGGCUUUAUCCUGUUUUUGUUAUCUGUUUGCUGCUGAGGUAGAGUUGGAUUAUUUUCUUGUUUAAUACCCUUUCUCAUCCAAUAUCACAGAUUUGGGAAGACAUUUUGGGGUUUGAAAAUGCAGAAUUUUACAUUAAACGGUGGCCUCAAUUGGAUGGUGCACCCUUCAAAGAUGUGCUGGUAUUAUUUCCGGAGGCUAUUCCUUGUGGUGUUAAGGUUGCUGCUGAUGGCGGCAAAAUUAUCAUAAAUCCUGAUGAUAGAUAUGUUCUAAAAGAAGGUGAUGAAGUCCUUGUCAUAGCUGAGGAUGAUGAUACCUAUGCGCCAGGUCUCUUACCAGAGGUCAAUUUUCUUCACUGUAGAUGGUUAUCAAGAUUCCUGUGGCAUUUGUUGAUCAGAUAUUUGUUGAAUCUACCAUUUUGAUGAAUACCUCAUAUAUUCUUUUCAUUCGAUUUAUAAUUCAAACCUUCUUAUAAUCCUUCAGAUCCACUUCCAUGUGCUCAAAAAAUUUCAAAUACAUUUUAUGUUUACUUUGAGAUUCAAGCAUUUUUGCUGAUUUGCCGUUGCAUUUUGUCCAUCUUGCUUCAUCCUUCUUCACGGCUAAUGUGAAGUUACAUUGUCAUGUCAUUAUUUUCUUAAAUUUUAUGAAGCAUGGGAUAUUGUUCAGUCUUGGCUGAGCCAGAAAUACCAUUUACAAUGUCUUGUUUAUGCAUUUAAAAUAUCAUGGAUAUUGGGAAUUAUCAAAGAAGAAACUGUAUUGAGCACUUCAUGAUAAUGGAGUGCAAGAUGCAAUUUUAUUUUUUGAUGGGUGGAGUACAAGAACAAUUUUAUGUUUUGCCUGGUGGAGUACAAGAUACACGCAUUUAUGAUAAAGACCAAAAUACGAAAAGAGAAAUAAACUAUGAAAACAAAGAAAAUGAUAGAAUUGAAAUGCAAGAAUUUAAAGGAUAGAAGAUAGAGGUAGAUAGAUAGACAUAAACAAGGAAAAUCAAUUGAAACUAAAGGAUAUAUUAAAUCCUAAAACCCCGAAUGAACAAUCCACAAGAGUACCUAACUCUUAUGAUGAACGAAAGGGAAUUGUAACGCCUUUGCAACCACCAUCUAUGUUGCGUGGACUCUUCGAUUGUGCCGCCGAACCCAUCUCGAUGCGACAUCGAUGCUGGUGUCAGACGGGGUGCGUCUCGGAUUCAGUCAAAUGAAUCUGGAGACAUUGACCAUAAUCAAGACAAAUUUUGGGGAAAAUUGAGAUUCGACCAGCGACUUACUUGGAACAAACGUCCGCCUGACGACUUCACCGGCGACUAUAAAAUUGACAAACAAAUCCAAUUUUCAGCUGUCUGGUUUGGUUGGGAAGAAAGAGACAGUUGUACUUCUGGCUCGAUUGGGAAGACAGAGACAGUCGUACGUGUAAUUUACAACUUAUCGACGACGGCGUAACUUGGGGAAUGAUAGGGAUCCAACUAUGAAAACUAGAUUUUGAAAUACGUAAAGUAAAGAUAGAAUCAAAGUAGAUGAUAACUGCAAGAAGAAGAAAUAACCAAGAACAAAAGAUAUAAACUCUAAUACCCUCGAUCACAAGCUUUUUCUCACACCUAACUCCUACAAUGACCAAGAGGAAAUGGAACACCCUCGAAUUCACUCAUUUCUAAGCCAAAGUUCAACAAAUACUCACCAACUCUCUCACUAGAGAAGUGUUCACCAAUAAUCAAGCAAAAACUAAAGAAAAUAAAGCAUUGUUUAGGUAUUUAUACUUGUAGUCUAAUUAUUACAAACUUGGGCCCAAAAGUGACCCAUUUUCACUUAAAAAGGACUAUUAGCUGAUUUGGGCCACUUGCUCACGCAGGUCAUGGCUGCAUGUGCCACUGUUGUCAUCUGCCCACACAUGAAGCUCACGUGCGCAGGUCCCUCCAGUGAGCUGUUUAGCUUCGCCUCGCGCUUUUUUGACCCCUCCAAGGCCCCUUGAUCCAUCCUAGACGCAAUCAUGAACUCAUAACACCCUUUUGAUAGUAAUAGGAUGUCUUCAAGCACCUCUCGCUUCAUGAAAACCCCUUGGAGUACUUGAAGUUCCCUAGCUUGGCUUCUAGUGAGGGUCUUAAGCUCACCCAAAGUGUAUCAAAUUCACGGGGUUAUCAUCUUCUAUUAUGUCAAACAGUGAAAGAUCGCACACUGAAGGUGUUGUGCUCUUGGUAUUCCGGAGGAAGGUCCAUUAUCCUCCCAAGUACUUGAAUUGGACCAUCACCUCGAGGCGUCAACUUGGCUUUCCUUUGGGUUGGAAACCUAUCAUUCUGGAGGUGUACUCACACCCAAUCACCUGGUUCAAGUACAAGUUGUUUCCGUCCCUUAUUCACUCUUUUGGCCACCUCUUGAUUUUCAAGGUGAAUUCUCACCUUCUCAUGCAUCUUUUUCAUUGGUUCCGACCUGUUAUUCCUAUAUAGGCUAAUCACAUCAUCGACAAAGGAGUGAGAUCCAAAGGGGUAAGGGGGUUAAAACCAUAGACACAUUCAAAGAGAGUCGUACCAAUAGUCGAGUGGAUAACACGAUUGUAAGCAAAUUCUACGAAAGGUAAGUGUUCCUCCCAAGAAGUUUUGAUAUAAACUACUACCCACACGUGGAUAAAAAAGUGUAAAUAAAGUGUAAAUAGAUAUGCUAGUGUCAACUAACUCCUAUCAAGUAACAGAGAAACAAGAACCAGUAAUCCCACUAGACACCUCAUGUAUUCACUACUAGUUUCAACGUUAUCACCAUGAGUACUCUAACAAUAAGGUCACACAUAGUAGAAGAAGAAGUAAUUUCCAAGCAAUGGACACUCUCUUUUUAUGGAGGAACCCUCAAGUGGACACAUACCACCACCAAAAUCAAAGGGAUUGCUUAAAUCUUCACAAGAAACAAGCAAUUCAUCCUCAUAAUUAUCAAACAAAAGUGGGCUGUCAUACAAAGGAUCACAUCCGCAAUCAUUUUUUAAGGAACAACCGCCUAUUGGAUUUCUUAAAUAUUCAAGCAAUUCAAAGCUAUCAUCACCCAAUUGGUUAUUCCUUUCCAAGACUACACAUUCCUUACAAUUAAGAGUACUUUCAUCUUUCAAGAAGAGAUUUUCAUCUUUAGAAGGAAUGUUGUCACUCCAUAGUGGGUUAACAUAUAGGCUAUCCGUAUGUGAAUGAUGAUUGUGUGGCUAGUAGCCCAUUGCGUGUGAGUAGUAGCUUUCUUACAUGUGAUUCUAUUUAUUCUUUGGCUUUUGUUAAUGAUGUACAUGUUGUGAGUGUGGAUACACUAGUUGAUCCUAUUGAUGACCGAAUUGACUCUUUUUGUAAGAUCAAUUUAUGUCCACCUAGUGUUGAGGCCAAUGUGUAGCUAUUUUACGUUGAAGUUUUUGAGCACAUUCUUCUUUACCUUGGUGUGAAGGUCCUCCACAAGCUUUGGCAACAACUAAAAUUUCCCUAGUCAAGCCGUCAAAAGGAAUCUUCUCCUUUAGCACUUGUUCUCCUCCGCUUGCCAUGUUGGUACCUACAUUAAUGUCCUUAGAAAUAAAAGGACAAACAUAGUUAGCUCGGUUUGGUGGCAACCCCCUCACUUCACUCUUCACAACUUCUCCUUUUCCACUCUCGGAUUGCCACCUUGCACACCCUUACUCCUCUAAAUCUUUCGUCUCUCAUAAUUAUUCGGCUUGGAGUAAGUGAUCACUUCUCUUGGAGAUUUGGGAAGAAUGAACAUAAUGAGAUGAUUUCCCCAUUGAUCUCUUACAACCUUAGGCCAAUUUUGCACACUUGGAACUUUAUGUUGUGCAAACCAAUCGGCACCCAAGCUUACAUGACCUUGUUUCUAGGGGAAGAUAUCGCACCAUACUUUCUCAUAGUAUGCAAAUAGGUUGAAGACAACCUUCACUCUCUCGGUAACCUUAUACCCGCUCAAGGAAUAUGGAACAAGUAAAGGUUCUCGAAACAACCCCAAAUGAUCAACCAUGGGUGGAAUGAUGCAGUUUUUAUAGCACCUAUUAUUUAGCACAAUGAGGCAGCCCGGAACCCCACAAAUGGUGACCCUUUCGGAGUGAAUAUUUCUGCUUGGAUCAAUAUUGUAAGGCUUAGUAUACCCCUUGGGCACAUGAGUACCCUUCGGCUUUGGAGAUACAUACUCCUUUCUUCUCAUGGGACAAUCUCCACUAUAACUAGUAUAACGAUUCACGCCACUUCGACCUUGAUAAGAUGUACUACAAGGUGAAGAAUAUGAAUCUUCAUACUCCACACGUGCACUCUUACCAUAGCUCUCAUAAGCUUUGCGAAUGAAGGGGUUAUACCUUACACCAAUUCUAGGUUCGGAGUGGGAAGUAAUGAUACGGGCACGACUAUGAAAUCAAUGUGUGUGCAAGUGAGACAAGAGGCCAUCCAAGGGAGUUCAAUGUUGAAGUGUGAGAAGGACCAAAUGCACUCUAAAGCCGUCCAUUUGCUACUAUUAUUACACUAGAGGGGCGCCCUUUCAUUAAGGGCCUUUUGGACAAUUCAUCUUUUAUGUAAUAAGAGAUUAUAUAUAGUUUAGUAUUAGGGUUUUUACAUUUAAGUUGAUUAUUAUUGUGAGUUCUUGAAACAUUGUAACACCAAAGUUUCUCUCUAGGUUUGUGAGUAACGUUCCACCCGAAACUAGGGCACCAAAUAGUUGCAAUUGUUGGCUUCACGUUGGUGCUAGAGGAGGUAAAGUCCCUCUUGUGUCAUCGUAGAAGUGUAGUGAUUGUUUGUAUAAGUGUUAGAGGUCUUAGGAUUUGAAGCAUUCUAGGAUUGCUAGUGGUUGUAUUAGCUUUGUCACUCUAUCUAUCCUUUAUAUAUUGCAUUUUCGUUUCUUGUUCUUGUGUUGUCUUCUUGAACUCGUUUGGUGUUCUUGUUGUGUGUGAAGUUGUGGACUAUUUUUGGUAUUUGUUGGACCGUAAGGUAUCAUUUGGUAUCGGAGCUUGUUGUUGGUUUCAUCCCUAUGGAACCAAUCUUGGGCUAGUUCACUUGAAAAUCAAGAAAAAAAAAUAGUAGUAGUUGUUCUUGAGUCUUGGCCGGGAUUUAGACUUAGAUCUAGGUGUAUUUUGUGUGUUUUUGGUGUUUCUUGUGUUAGAUUCUUUCUCCCUAACACUUAUAGUGUCUAGAUCCAAGAUCUUAAGCAAAAAAUUCAAGUUGUGUUGUGGUACUAGUGGACGGCUUGUUGUUUUUGUUCUUGAGUUCUUGUGUUGUGGUGAAGAAGAAGCUUCAAAGAAAGAUUUGUUUGAUAAAAAAUUCAAAGAAGAGAAGUGUGGAUUCUUGUUUGUCUUGGAAACCUUUCCAAGACAUCACCAAAAGGGCAAAGAACAAAAAGAUCCCAAAAAAGCCUUACUACCCAAAAGGAGUUAGGUCAUUUUUCAAGAUUGUCCAAAAAGGGAAAGGGGACAAGAAUUCCAAAAAAGCUUGUCUUGCCAAAAGAGUGCAAGUAGGUGAAGACUUUUUGAAUCUUGAAAGGAGAGUCUAAGACCUUGUUUGCCUAUACCCAUAGCCGAAACUUCUUCCAAUGGUAAAAUUAAACAACUAAAUUCUUGGAACAAAUUUUCUCCAACUUCAACAACAUUUCAACGGCCAAUAGUUGGCUGCCACGUCCCCAAAAGGCUCAAAACCUUGGAAUUCCUAGUUUCUCUUCCUUGUUUCCAUUGGUUUCAACUUUGUUGACUCUGAUACUAAUUGGUAAUUAGUAAAUAUCUUCUAAGUUGUGAAUUAGUUUUUGAGUACGUUCUUCGUGUUAGCGUUAUUUUGGUGCUUUAUUCGUUUUUGAAUUGUAGUAUUUCUUGGUUCAAGUUGCGACAUUACUUUCUUGAGUCUUCAAGCAAAGAAUCCAUUUCAACCAAGGAGUAGACUUACUCCUCAAUUCACCACGAACUGCAAGCCGACCUUGCAACACUUGUGUGACCAAGUGUGAGACGAUCAAGACGUGUGAGAGUGUGGUGAGGAGUUUGUGAACUAACUUGUGUUUUGUUUUGUAGGUUUGUUUAGUUAUAAUUGCAAUGGAACUCGAGGCUUCAAACUCUCAACCCAUGGACAAUAAUCCCACCAAUAUCAUUUUGGUCCGCCCUGAAACUAUGUCCCGAGACAUGGCUAGGUUGAAUGCGGGUCUUGAGAAAUUAGACUUAGAUAUGGCAUCAAUGAUUGGGAGGCUAGAAUGAGUGGAAAGUCAAAGAAAUUCCCGACCUUCUUUUCCUCACAAUUCCACCAACCAUUACUCCCGAAACAUUGCACCAAAUGUUAUAUCCCCCAAGACAACCACCAAUUGCCACAAAUCAAACUAAUUUCUACUCCCAAAACCGAGAUCAUGAAUGGCCAAGCCACCCCACUUCACCAAGUCCAACAAGGACUUGGAACCCAAAUACCACCCCAAAACCCGAGCCCUCCCAUCCAAACUCCACUUGACCGAAGACCUCAUUAUCCACUAAACCCACUCACGCCACUACAAUCUCAUCUUAACCCAAAUAGACCCGUCCCUGUAGAGGGAUAUGGUAGGGGAGGACAACAUGAUGGAUGUGGACCUUAUAAUGAUGCUUACAUGAGGGGGGAAGAGAUGAGGGGAAGAGAUAAAAUCCCUCACUACAAUCAUAGUCUCCCAUGUCGUAGUCACAAUAAUUCGAGGCUAUCAAUACAUGUUCCCCUUAUAUCACCUUGUACCUACAAAAAAACAAACAAGAUUAGUAGUAAAACAACCUCACCAACACUCGCAUGCACUUACCUAUGUGAUCUUCACAGUUGGAGUGACAAAUAUUGAAAGUUGCUUAUACUCCGGUAGUCAAUAAGGUGUCAAUCACUACUUUGCGGCCAAAUAGAUUCUUGUUUGAUUGACUCAAGACACAAAACAAAAUCUACUUACGAACUUGAAACAAAGAAGUUCAACGAAUCAAAAAGAGAAAAGCACACAAAGAACGAAGACACGAAAGAAAACGAACUCAAACAACUAAGUAGGUGAUUACUAGUUGCUAAUUAGUACUAGACUCAAGAAAUGAAACUAAAGAAACAAAGAAAAGAAACUUAGAAUCUGAAAUUUGAGCUUAGGGUUGGUUCCAAUUGUAUUGAUCAAUUUUCAAUUUGGAAGAGGGGAAUUCGGCUAGGAGGGAAAAACACAAGACUGGAGCCUUUUUUCAAAUUCAAAAGGAGUUUGACUUUUCUUGAAUCUUUUUGGUAAGACACCUUUUUGAAAGCCUUUUGUCUCAUUUCCUUUUUUGUAUGUCUUGGGAUAUGCUCUUUUCUCCUUUAGGUUAACAAGACUUUUGAAAGCCUUUUGGUCUUCUUUCUUCUUUGGUAUGUUCUUGGAAUAUGUUUUAAGACUAACAAGGGACCACACUCUUUUCUCCACUCUUUUAGAUCAAACAACACCUUUUGAAUGUUCUUGUUCAACAAUAAAUGAAGAACUUGAAGAACUCCAAGAACACUCAAACAUGGAACCUAACCCAAAUGAGCUCGGAAUUGGAUGAUUUUUGUUUCUCCAAGCUCACGUUGCUCUCCUAAACACCAACAACACAUUUUCAAGCCAUAAUAUCAACAACAACCCUUCCAAUUUUGAGAUUCACCUUUCUAGUUCUUCAACAUUCAACUCAACAAUGGUGAAAACUCAAAGCAACCCGGAUUAAGCUCAAAUCCAAGAUCUAGACUCUCUUAGUGUUUGGGAACAAAAACCUAACACUAGAAACAACAAGAGACACGAAAAACACAAGAAAUCUAAGCCUCAAGUUUCGGCCAAGGUACCAAAACGUGACAAUAUUUUUUUUGUGAGAUUUUUGGAUUUGGACACCUCUUCUAGUGUUAGGAGACAAGGAUCUAACACUGGAACAUACAAACACACAAAAAUUCAAAGACCAAAGUUUCGGCUAAGGGCCAAAAACGAGACAGAUUGCUUUCUUUUUGGAUUUUCGGUUUUCGACACUUUUUUUUUAUUUUCAAGAUAACAAGCCCAAGAUUGAUCUCGUAGGAACGAAAUCAAUCCUUGCUCUGAUACCAAAUGAUACGGGUCAAGUUACUAAACACAAAAUCAGCCAAGAACAACAAGCCAAAGCCGAGAACAAGAUACUAACAAGCAAUGACAGCAACACAAAAACCGUGAAUAAGAAGACAAGAAACAAAUACACAAAUGCAAUAAAGUAAAGGGAUAGAUAAGAUGACAUAAGAUCUUACGAAACAAUGAGAACCAACACGUGUAUACGCAAAGACCCUCUAAGUCGUAAUAACCAAACACCAAUCUUUUUACGGUGACCGCUACGGGAAUCAACUCCGCCUUACAACCACCGUUGCUAAGAAAUGUUCAAUAAUGGCUUUUCCAAGCCCUAACACUAACUGGUUUUUUCAAGCCCUGCACUAAAGUUCACUCCCCAAAGGAGUUCAAGAAUGUCUCAAAAUAUCGUCAUAAACAAAACUAAGGAGCAAAUGACCUAGUAAGGGACUAUUUAUAGUCUAUUACAAAUGAAAGAUAAAAUGAAAGAUAAAAUGACCAAAGCACCCUUAAUGAGAAGGGCGGCCUUGGAGUGCAAAGGAGGGGCGGUCUUGGAGUGUUUAAAGCUCUUCAGGGCUCCAAAAUCGUGGGUUCCACUUUGUACUCUCGGGUGGGCAUCAAAGGCAAGACCCAAGCAACCUUCCACACACGGGAUUGCUCGAUGGUGUGCUCAAAUCGGCCCCUCCAUGUAUGUUCCCGUGCCCUCGAUGUGACCAAAGCUUGAUUCUUCAUGUAUUGGCCUCUCAAGAUGUCAUCAAAAGCUCUGGUGGCCAUUUGGCUCGUAUCACUCACUCCUUAGUAGAUGCUGGUUCGGAUGAUGUUUGGAUCAUUGAUAGUGGUUGCUCCAACCACAUGUCUGGCAGAAGGUCGUUGUUCUAAGAACUUGAUGAAAUUGGAGAAGUUAAAUGUUUGGCUUGGGAAUUACAAGGCAAUGAAAGUCGAAGGGAAAGGUACAAUUGCUCUAAAAACUUCUCAUGGUAAUGUAAAUCUUCUCCAUGAUGUGCAUUAUGUUCCUUGUCUAUCCCACAUAACUUGCUGAGUGUUGGGCAACUGAUAACUUGUGGAUAUUCCAUUCUGUUUGAUGACAAUUCUUGUAGCAUUCAAGAUAAAAAAAACAGGAUACAGAAUUGUUGACAUUCAAAUGACUCAAAAUAGAAUGUUUCCUCGUGAAGUUUCUAAUGUUAAAACUUUUGCAUUAGUUACCAAAGGUAGUACCGAAGCUAAUUUAUGGCAUUUGCGGUAUGGUCAUUUGAAUGUAAAAGGGUUGCAAUUAUUAGGUCGUAGAAAUAUGGUUCUUGGUUUGCCUAGAAUUGAUGCUCUUGAAUUCUGUGAAGGAUGCAUGUAUGGGAAACAAAAUAAAAAUUCAUUUCUUGUAAGCAAGUCUUGGAGAGCUUCUGGUUGUCUUGAACUAGUGCAUGAUGAUCUAUGUGGUCGGUCCUAUGAGUGUUGAGUCCUUAGGUGGAAGUCGAUAUUUUCUACUUUUUACGGAUGAUUAUAGUCGAAUGAGUUGGGUAUAUUUCUUGAAAUUCAAAGCUGAAACAUUUGAGAAUUUCAAGAAAUAUAAGUUUGUUGUUGAGAAAUGAAGUGGUUGUAGAAUCAAGACUCUUCGAACAGAUAGAGGUAGUGAGUUUAUGUCAAAUGAAUUCAACACUUUUUGUGAGGAAAAUGGUAUUCACAGAGAGCUCACAUCACAUAUACACUGGAGCAGAAUGGUGUAGCCGAACGAAAGAACUAGACGGUUGUUGAAAUGGGCAGAAGAAUGAUGCAAGCCAGAGGUGUACCAGAGUAUAUCUGGGGUGAAGCUGUUGCUACUGCUGUCUACGUGCCGAACAUUUCACCUACCAAGGCUGUUCUUAAUCAAAUGCCAUAUGAAGCAUGGAGAGCCUAAGGUAAGCCACUUACGUGUCUUUCAAUGUAUAGCUUAUGCUUUGGUGAACUCACAGGCUAGACAAAAGCUUGAUGAAAAAUCAAAAAAAUGUAUUUUUGUUGGAUAUAGCACACAAUCCAAAGCUUAUAAGUUAUAUGAUCCAGUGAGUGGCAAAAUUAUGAUCAGUAGAAAUGUUAUGUUUAAUGAAGAUGCUAGCUGAAACUUUGAUUCUGGGAAUGUUAAUUCGAAUAUAAAAUUGUCACUUAUUGAUGAAAUUUUUGAGCAAGAACCUGCAACAGUUUCCAUUCCUGAGAACACAUCCAGUUCUUCUCCAGCAAGUAGCAGCCUUUCUACUCCUCAAUCAAGCACUUCUUCUCCAACAAGUGAUCACAGCUUAACCCCCCAAAGAAGUGGCAGCAGCUCAUCUUCAACAAACUCUUCCAGCGAGACUCCACCAAUGAAAUUCAAAUCGUUGAGGGAGAAUUCUGAGAAUUGUUCUUUUGCUUUAUAUGGUGCAGAACCCACUUGUUCAAAGAAGUUGCAGAGAGUUAAGUGUGGAAAAAUGCAAUGAUAGAAGAGAUGCUAGCAAUUGAGAAGAACCAGACAUGGGAGUUGGUGAAUCUACCGGAUGGAAAGGAACCCAUUGGACUCAAAUGGGUGUUCAAAUUCAAGCAUCAUGCAGACGGGAGUAUAUAGAGAUACAAAGUCGGGCUCGUAGCUAAGGGAUAUACACAACGUCAAGGUAUUGAUUACGAUGAAACGUUUUCACCUGUUGCUCAUUUUGAAAUGGUUAGAAUACUCUUAUCUUUGGUUGUUAAAUUGAGCUGACCUGUUUAUCAAUUUGAUGUUAAAUUUACAUUCCUAAUUGGGGAUUUGGAAGAGAAAGUUUAUGUUUCCCAACCUGAGCAUUGUGUUAUUAGUGGCAAUGAGAGCAAAGUUUACAAACUCAAGAAGGCACUUUACGGGCUAAAACAAUUGUCGAGGUCAUGGUACAACAAAAUUGACUCGUACUUUCGAGGUAUGGAUUUGAAAGGAGUGAGAAUGAGCCUACGCUGUAUGUAAAGAAACAAGGUACGAGUGAUUUUUUGGUAGUUUCUCUCUAUGUGGAUGACAUGAUUUAUAUGGGAUCAUGUGAAACUUUAGUUGCUGAAUUUAAAUUGUGCAUGAUGAAGGAGUUUGAAAUGUCAGAUUUAGGUAUUUUGCAAUACUUUCUUGGUCUUCAAGUGAAACAGGUGGAGAAUGGGAUUUUUAUCUCUCAAAUGAAGUAUGCAAAAGACCUUUUGUUCAAGUUUGGUAUGCAUAAUUGCAAAGUGGCUGUCACACCCAUGAAUGCAAAUGAAAAGUUUCAGCUUGAAGAUGGCACAGAUCUUGCCGAUCCUAGUCACUACAUAAGCUUGAUUGGAGGUUUGAACUACCUAACACAUACUCGUCCUGAUAUCAUGUUUUCUGUGAAUAUGUUGUCUAGGUAUAUGCAUUGUCCUACCUAAGCAACAUCUUAAUGCUGCCAAAAGAGUGUUGCAUUAUGUUGCUGGGACUGUUGACUUCGGGAUUUUGGUACUCCAAAGUUGCAAAUUUCAGCUUGAUAGGGUACAAUGAUAGCGAUUGGGCAGGAAUUAUAGAUAACAAAAAGAGUACUUCUGGAAAUGUUUUCAGUUUAGGAUCUGGAGCGAUUUCCUGGAAUUCAAAGAAAUAGGAUGUGGUUGCAUUAUCAUCAUCAGAAGUAGAGUAUGUUGCUGUAACUUCAGCAACAUGUCAGGCCAUAUGGUUACGAAGAUUGUUGAUUGACGUUUUCUAUCGGCAGAAUGAUGCAACAAAGCAUGCAAUGAUUGCAAUGACAAAGAAUCCGGCUUUUCACAGCAGAACAAAGAACAUUGACAUCCGUUAUCAUUUCAUUCGUGACCUGACAACAAAAGCUGAUAUAGAGUUGAAGUUUUGCGGUACAAGGGAUCAAAUUGCAGAUGUCUUCACCAAGGCACUCCCAUAAGCCAAGCAUGAUCAUUUCCGGCAGAAACUUGGAGUUUGUAAUUUUGAAUCAAGGGGGAGUGUCAAAUAUUGAUUCAAAGGUCGUAAGUGCUUCCUAGUUAGUUGGCAGAGUAACACGUUUAUUAGGAGUCCUAGUUUAGUUAAAGUAUAUCUCUAUUAGUUGCUAAUAAUUUGGUUAGUGGAUAAUUAGUCAUUGAGUUAGUGGGUAUUUUUUUUAUCAAGUGGUUAGGUUUUUUCUAAUUCCUAUUUAGAGAGUCCUAUGUAGCUUAGUUUAGUUGAAUGAAUGAAAAAUACGUGUGAAGUUCUCUACAACUAUAUUCUUCCUCUUAUACAUUGCUCCUCUUUUCUUCAAUUCCCCAACAGUGGAGAAUCAGUUGCUGAAAAACCAGUAUUGUACCGGAACUACUUGCCGGAUAAGUUGACCGGAAAACGUCGCUGAACAUAAUCGAAAAAUAUUUCUCUUGCCGGAAAUGUAAUUUUGAAUUUGGAAUAUUUCUCUUGCUGGAAACUUCAACACUUAAAUUUUUUUGAAAUUGAAAGAAACCCCAAGAAGUAAACUACUCGCCGGAUAAGUUGAUUGGAAAACGUUGCCUAUUCCUAGAGCACUCUGCAGAUACCACAAGAUGUGAAAACUCGCAUAUGAGAAUUUUGGGGAUCAUGCAUGAACUUUCUCUCCUAGCUAACUGAAUAAGCUAUGUCUGGUCUAGUGUGAGAGAAUAAAUGAGUCCUUUAAUCAACUUGUGGUAUCUCUCUUAUCAGCUGACCAACAAAACCGUUGUUUGUAACUUAUGAUUGCCUCUGGUAGGCGAUUUUGCUAGCUUGGGUGGGCGUGUUGUGGUUUUGAAUUCUGUGGCUUGUGUUCUAAUAGUAACCACAGGAAGCAACAUGUCAAUACCAGUUUCUUUCAAGAUCUAGAUAUACUUCCUUUUAAAUAUUCCUUUGUUUGAUUAGCAACCUCAAUUCCAAGAACUACUGAAAUUUUCCUAGAUCUUUGAUCUCAAAUUCUUGUGCCAACUUUCCAUGAUGUUGGAGGAUUUUCUGGGAACUGGCGAAUUGGCCAUGGUUGUGCAAGGAGAGGUGAACUGGUGAAGGUUGAAUUGGGUACUGAGAGGUUGAGUGGUGGAAUUUUUGCAUUUGAUAUUUCAAAAAUCUCUCUCUAGUCUUUACACAACAGUAAAAAGAUAAAAAGUGCUUUGUGGGUAGGGGGGACGUGGGUGAUGGAGGAGAAUAGGCAAGGGUAAAAAGUAAGAAAUGAAAAAGGAAUAAAACAAGCUUAACCAUAAAUGAAAAAAAAUAAAAGUAAAGUAAAUUGACUCGUAUCAAACAGUGAUUGGUGCAUGAUUAUUCCCGUUGUUAAAAUUGGGAUUGGUUGCGAAAGGAUUUAAAUUGUAAUAAUACCAUUUCAAAAUUGUUUCGGGGUGUCAUAGGAUCCCUGCGAAGUUCAAGUAUUUUCUGUAAAAAUGGGAGAAGUCCAGGGAAUAACAUGUUAUUAUCCCUUUAAUCAAUGAGGACAUGAGUACACACAGUAUUACAUAUAUAGAUAUUCAACUUAGUCCAAGUAACUAUCUCACGGAUACAACUCUUGGACAUAUUUGUUCUUAUUGUAUAAGUAGCUUUUCAGGAACAUGUUGAUGCUAAACUGUUGCCCAUUAUAUUAUUAAAUUUUAUAGAGUUUCUAGCAUGAGGUUCUUGACAAUGAAGCUUAAAUCAUUUUUACUCUAGUGAUGUUUGCUGGUUGCUUUAUCAUAGUUUUGUCUAUUCUGGUAAAGUAUGAAACUCGUAAGAUAUGGCAAAAACGAAGAGGAAAUGGAGCCUUUUUUCGGAUGGUAAAAUAGAGCACUCUUCUUGCAUAAAUAUUAGGAUGGUAAAAUGGGCAGCCCGGUGCACUAAAGCUGCUGCUAUGCGCGGUGUCCGGGGAAGGGCCCCACCACAAGGGUGUAUUGUAUGCAGCCUUACCUUGCCAGAGGCUGCUUCCAAGGCUUGAACCCAUGACCUGUUAGGCUAAUUUGCGCGGACUCUAUGCUAGAUUUUCCAAAAAUACACUACUUUUGCGGACUCCGACCGGUACCCGAUGACAUUUUCGAAGAGUCCAAGCAACAACCCUAUCAAUAUAGUCUUGGAGAUUAUAUCUGCUAAAUCUGUUCUGAUAUUGCUGACCCCUUUAAGUGAAAAUAAGAUAGUGGAGCUUUUGUUGGCAAAAAAUUUGCAAAGAUUAUCCGGAGGAACCUGUUUCGUACCUGAUAAUUUUUGUUAGUGACGAUAUUUUUUUAAGUUAUUUUUACUAAUGUUGGUUAUUCUUGCUUUUAGCAUCAAAUUAAUUUCCAAUACUCUAAUUCCCUUUUUUGAACUUAAGGCAUUUAUCUUGUGAGAGAGAAAGCGAUAAUGGUAAAUGUCACGAUCCAAAAAAAAAUCAGCGUUGUGAUGGCACCUACCUGAUACAAAAUCAACCAACAAAUGGCACAAAACAGCCCACAACAUGACACAAAACAGUCCACUCACGAGAUGACCAAACAACACAAAAAACGGAAACAAGAAGACAAGCACAAACACACGAUUUGCAAUAUAUUUAAAGGAUAGAUAAAUAGCCAAAUGAAGGUAUAAAUCCUAAGAACCCUAAGAUAUAUCAAAUCUAAGGACCCUUAACACCUACACACGACAAUCACCUAACUCCUACGUAGACACAAGAGGAAUGUUACCUCCUCUAGCACCACCUUUUCAAGCCAAGUUGCAACUCAAGUGAUUCCACACUUGAAUUAGCCCUCAUUUCGGUGUUGUGUCUUUUCCAAGCCCUACAACUAAGGUGUUACACUCUCAAAGAGAGAACUUUCAAUGUUUCAGAUAUUUAUCAUUCAUAAACUAAGUGAAAAUAACCCUAACAUGUUCUAUUUAUUCUAUUACAAGACAAGACAAAAUGAUGACAACGUCAUUAAUGAGGAUGGGCUGCCAUGGAGUGCAUUUGGACAAAGGGAAGUGACCAAAAUGCCCUUAAUGAAGGUGUCCAAAGCCGUGAGCUCGGCAUUGCUCCAUCAAGUGCCCAAAAUGGUCUCUACAUGUAGGCUCUUGUGUCCUCGAGGCGACUAUAGCUUUAGUCUUUAUGUGUUGGCCUCCAAGGACGUCAUCAAAAGCUAUGAGGGUCGUUUGACACGUAUCACUACCCCAACCCACCAUUGUAGGUAAUCCAAACUCACAAAUACACGUUCGUUCAAAGUAUAGGCAAAUAACAGAAUGACACAAUGACAUUCCAAUAAUAACUUAAGUCGAUAAUUUAGUUUAGGAUCCCCUUUCUACAUUCAGUUAUUUAUUGAGCCAUCAUUAAGGAAACUGAAUAGUAUACUCCGAAAACAUUCCAAAACUCAAUUGUCACGAAUAAAAUAGAGGCUUUAGUACAAAAUGUCAUAACUGAACAAUAUGAAACUGUAUGACAAAAUAAAGAAGACAAAAAGAAUGAUAAAGGAAACCGAGGUCUCCGAAGGUAGGAGCUCACCACGACUUCAGAUCAACCGAAUACCAAAUAAAUUCAAGGUAUGCGCCUGUCCACUCGUGCGGUUCUGCAUCCUUUUGAUUCAGAAAGUAGGGGUGAGUAUAACCACUAGUGCUCAGUAGGCAUCAUAGGCCAGCUGAGCUUAAGCGAGAACUAUAUCGAAUAAAGAAAAUUAAAAUAUCCUUGCACGCAGAAAAGUCCCAGCAGUUCAAUAUCAAUAAUCACUAAAGAUUACCUUAAUAAACAGUAAUAAUCAAAGAAUAUGCAAUUGCAAUACUUACCGGUAUACAUCCACUUCAGUCGUGUGUUGCAAGAUGGGACCUAUGGGGAACUCAGGUCCAUAUAUUCUGCUCGGAAUCUUACGACGAACAAAAUCACACAUAAGUAUCAUAUCUCUUCAUCCGGAAUAUGCAUUGGACCAAAUUACUCAAAAGUAUCGUAUCUCCCCGUCUAUAAUAUACACUAGUUUUAUGUGUCCCGUGCUUAGCCCGGGCCAAAACUUAAAAUAAAGUAAUAAUAUAUGAUUUUAUCAAAUAAAUAUAAUUAGUGUCACAUUUUCAACGACAUAAUUAGUAUAAUGUUAUUGUAGGUUAAUCAUAUCUUGUGAUAAAUUUGCAUAAUUAUUAGUCAUAUAAUUGAGUAUUUAAAGGAAAAAAACUAUUUGUGGCAAAGUAAUUAGUUUAGUAAGAAAAUUAGCAAAUAUCAAAAGAGAAGCAUGUGAUUCGAUAUUAUACAAACUAACACAAUCAUAACAACGUAUUCAAUGAAAUCUCACCAGUAGGUUGUGGAGAGAGUAAAGUAGCACACACCAUAACACUGCUCUCAUAAAGGUAAAAAGGAGGUUGUUUCUUGAGGAGACUCAGGCUGUUUCAUAAAAAAUAUUUUUCUAUUCUUUUUUUUAUCAACUCCUUAAUUAUAACUUUUCACAGAACAUGUUCAUCAUCACAAGGUAAGCAAAAAUUCUUUUACUAUCUAAUAAGAAGGAAAGACAAGAAAAGCAGGCAAUAGAGUGUCAACAUGCUUGCUUAUACUGUCUACUUUAGUUGCUUGCUCCGUGAUUUUACUAUAUUAUCCUUAAUUAAUUGUUAUAAGUUAUUUAUUCAUUAAAAAACUAAUAAUAUUUAAUAAAAAAAUAAAAUAGAUAUUUAUGUUAUGUCUGCUUCAAUCGUAAUUUUACUAAAUAUUACCUCUAAUUAAUUCUUUACAAAAUUGCACCUUACCCAAAAAAAAAAAAAAAAGAUGAUUGCACAACACACCAAUUUAAGAGGUGAGGAGUGAAAAAGAAAAUGAAAAUGAAAAUGUGCUAGUUGAAAAGUCAACAACAACAAGAAAAUGAAAAUGUGCUAGUUGAAAAGUCAACAACAACAUCUUCAUUGUACAUGUGUAAGAUACGAAACUCUUAACUUUAUGUGAGCCUUUUGAUUAAAUCUGUGAGGACGAAGAAAAUGGGUAUCCUUGCUAAUAUAUAAUAAAAAUAAGACCAAAUCAAUAGGUGUUUUAUUUUCUUUCAAAAAUUAAUUUUCUCUCAGUGGUACCACUCAGGGAUCCAUGAGAUGAAUGAAUAUGCAUGCUUAAUGAUAUGAUGUAUCCGAAUACUAUAGACUAAGUUACUCGGACUCUUAACUUUCGUUGCCGCACCUGUGUCGACACGACAUGGGUGUGGGUAUGGGAUCCGUACCCGAUCUGGUCAAUCGAUUUUGGGUACUUUGACCAAAAUCUACUGGGAAAGUCCAAUAGAUUUAAGAAAUUUUCUAAUCAAAGCAAAAGCUAGAACUUCUAUGUUAUUGCUUUUCUUUUAUCUCCUUUCAGGAUUUUUUUCUUGAACAAUAUUUUGUCCUCAAGUUUUCCACAUAAUAUCUCAUAAUUUUGUUUUGUAAUUCUAUUUUUAGAUAUUUAAAUUAUUUUUUACCGAAUCUCCGCGCCCGUAUCUAUCUCUAGAUCCGCAUCCCCGAAUUUUUAAAUUGAGACCGUGAAGGAUCCGACGUCUAGAUCCGUACCUAUAUCGGACACCCGCACCCGAGUCCGAGCAACUUAGACUAUAGAUAUGUAUAAAAUCCCAAGAUAUCAAUCAACUCAUGAACACGUGCUACAAGCUUCAAUAUCAAGCUAGUAAUCCCAAUUCAUAUCACUAUUACGAUAUAAGCCCCAAUUCGGGCGUCACAAUAACAAUGCAUCUCAAUUUCAACAAUUAGUCACUAAUUCUCCCAACCUAUAACUUGCUUUACAUGAUAAGUCUCCAACCAAGCAAAGUCUAAAGAAAGUUAAGCCAUAAUCUACCUCGAAGCCGAACAAACACGCCAUUAACCACCGCAAACGAGUAUUUCCUUUAGAAACAACCUGUAUUCACUUCCAAUCUAUCAAGAAUAAGUUCUACAUGUUAGUAAGAGUCCAUUGAAACUCAUAAUGCUAUACUUCUAUUCAGGUCCAAAAUGUCAACUCGAAAGUCAAUUCGGGGCUCACAAGAAAAAAAAAUUAGAAUUUUAUCUGAAAAUCACGUUACCCAUAACUUAGGAAACUCAAAUGUGAAAUGUCAUUGAAAACGAAGUUAAAAUCAUCCUUCAAAUCAUCAAAAUGCGGUUUCUUAACUUUUAGCUCAAAACCCCCAAUUUCUAUGUUCAUACGCGGUUUAUAACUAGAAAUUAUUUAAUAAUUCGGUAAAUUUAUGCCAAAAUCAGUUUUCACUGUCAAGGAUCUUAAGAUCCAAAAAUCAACGAAAAUCCAUCACAAAUUGAUCCUCAAACCCAAAACUAGUGAUCCACUAGAUGGGAAUACACUAGGUAUGAUGUUGUUAUUGAGAUUUUAAAUCUCAACUUUACAAAUCAAAAUCAUGAAAAACGUAAUGGAUAUUCUUGGAAACUGAGCAAAAUGAAGGUAGAAUCUCAUAUCCCAUGUGUAUAAGAGAAAAACGCAUCGAGAAUUACCUCAAUCGGAGCUUCCUAGGUCCCUAAAUGUUGAAAAUAUCAAAAAUUCGUGAUCUAUCCGAUUCAGUCACUGUCUGGUGAAGUUCUUUAUUCGUGUUCGCAGGACCUCCACCGCUUUGGCGAAGAACAAAUUUUGGUGUUGAUUGGUCAAGGAAAAAUUGCUUCUUCACGUUUGCGGUAUACCCAGCCAUCACGUUCCCAAAGAACAACCCUUCACACCAGAAAACUAGAAAACUAGCAACUGCUGUCCGCACUAACAUGAUCAUAUCUCCCUCCCUCAUACGGGAUCAAAAUCCGUAGAUUCUUUUUGCGUUGGUUUUGAAAUUUCGAUACGGAUCUAAUGGUGCCAUCCAAACACCAAAAAUAUCCAUGACGAAGAACUCCGAACUCCAAACAAGUACCCAAAAUUCAUCCGAGACCUCUUGGACACAAACCAAUAGUGCAAAUUACUUGUAAAACACAUUCUAGACUUGGAACUGAAUCAAACCUCUAACUAGACUAAUACCCUCCAGACGUAGUGCAAUCUCCGAAACUUGAAAAUUACCUUUCUAACCUCGAACGUUGACUUUGGUCAACUCUUAAGUUGCCAACUUCAAAAUCCAAAAACUUCUCCAAAACUCAUCUGAAUGCCUUGAAACUCGAACCAAUAGUCCUACUAACCCAAAAUCACGUUCCAAAAUUGAUGGCGCUGGCAGCAUUCCGAGACAAGCUCAACUUCUGUGGAUGUUGACUAAAGUCAACCAUAUCAACUUUCUAAUCCAAAAUGAAAAACUCACAUAUUUCUCAACCAACUGCCUCGGUAACAAUAACACCCAUCUCCGCAGAUCACUAAUACUAUAAAACAACUGCUAAAAAGGAUAAAACAGUCAAACUGCAGAAAAACCGAAAAAAUAACCAUGAGGAUUGUUACAGUAAAUCAUUAGUUCUAUUCUCCAUCACUGGUAGGCAAUAUAGUUGAUAGUUCUUUAUAUAUUUAGUUAAAGAAAAAAAUGAAGUGGAAUAUCACCAUUACUUGUAUAUAUGGUUUCUCUCUUCAUAGUUCGGUAUUUCUGAUCCUUGUUUGGUGAUGUUUCUGAUCCUUGUUUUCUUGAGCCGAGGGUAUACUGGAAACAACCUCUCUACCUCUGAGGUAGAGGCAAGGUUUGCCUACACUCUACCCUUCCCACAACCCACUUUGUGGGACUACACUGGGUACGUUGUUGUUGUUUGGUGAUAUUUUGACUAAUGCAUGGUUGAGAUUGGUGAUGUUGCUUAUUGCAGGUAAAUAAAGGCCUAUUCCCUAGGAUAACUGAUCCUCCAAAAUAUCCAGAAAGAAUCUUAUUCUGUGGCUGGAGACGUGAUAUUGAUGAUAUGAUUAUGGUACCUACAUCUACAUCACCUAUUUCUCCUGUCAAUCUCUGUGUGUGUGUGAAUAUGUGAGUAACAAGGUCUAAAAGGGUAGAACCUGUUCCACAGAUAGCAGGAGUUUAGGUCAAGUAACAUGUUCUUCCAUCAUCAAAUGGUGGGGGAAAAGGUUUUCUAAGAGUAUACAACCCUUCAUUUAUCUGAUUGACAUUGAUUCCACAUCUGAACUAUAUCUUGGAGUAGAGUCUAAGUACUCUGCACUGUUACAGGUUUGUAAUAGAUUCUCAAGGUUUUCCAGAGCUUCAGAAGGAAUUUGGGGGAGGGGAGGGGCUGUGUGGAAUACUUCAGUCCCUGGAAUCAUGGUAUAAUGACUUGAGGAGUUAUGUUUUUCACAUACUAGUUAUACAGUAGUUAUGAUGCAGCUGUUAGUAAUGAAGGGAUUGUUAUGGGUGAUUAAUAAUCAAGAGAUCGUUAUACAUCAAUUGGAUUCUCAUGAAUUGCAAUCUUGUUUUAUCUGUAAAUGGUUUAAUAACUGCUUUGCAUGCAUUCUUGUUUCACAUUCUAUCCCACAUAAAAUAAUACAUAGAUUCUCGCAUAAUUGAAUGUGAGCAUUAUUUAAUACCUCCAAUCAAACACUACAUUUGUUUUAUAGCAAUUAAUUUUCCUGUACGACCAACCAAAUAAUUCUAUUAUCUUACGCGAUAUUUUAUGUUGUGAUUAAUUAUUCCAAUACCAUCAACAAAGGGCCCCUUAAUAUGUUUGAACUUGUGUCUGUCUUCAUUUUAAAUUGACUUCAUUUGGUAAGGUAAUCAAUGAUGUUAGAAUGUUCCAUAUUGGUCGGGGAUGAACUUUUUUUCUUUUUUUCGGAGUAAAGAGGAUGGACUAUUAUCGGCUAAUGUGCUUGGUAAACCCUCACCAUAUGAGUUUGCUUUUGAGGUUUGAGUGAGGCCCAAUGUCAUUUUUAUUAACAUUGUACCAGAUCCGCUCCUCCCUCCUCCCCUUCUUGGUUCAACCAAUUUUGGGUCCCUAUGAUGUAUUGGUUAUGCUACAGAUGUAAAAGACUUGGGAUACAAUUUGUACUGUUAGAAUAUGAGUAGAAAUAGGAAUAGUAUAUAAAAUCUUACUCCAAAGGAUUAUAAUGUAGUGUCUAUAAAUAGAGUCUUGAUGUAAUUAUGUAAACACACAAUUUCAAUAAUAUCUUUUCUCCAUUUUUUCUCACAUGGUAUCAGAGAAUUGAUGAGAAACUUCAGAAAAGAAAACUUAGUCACUGUGUGUCAAUUUUCGAUGACUGUUUUGUGGGUUGUGUGCAAAAUACACCACCACUAAGAGGAUCGGAAAGUUCAGGCGACAAAAAUCCGACCAAAACCGUAGGAAAAAUACCAGCCGCGCGCCCCUACGCGGCUGCCGGAAUUCUGUAAUUCCGGCGAGAUACGUGUCACGCACUGACGCGUGAGCCCAUCUUCGGUCGAAUGUAUGAGUUCCUUUUUUUGUUGGGGUCGUUGAUCUAUUUCGACUCCGACCAGUUACUCUUUUUCAGAUUCCGCUAAGUCUUUUUAGAUUUCGAUCGCCGGAACCUAAUUCUGGCGACUUCUCAUUUUUGCGACGAAUUUUCAGUCAUCUAGAUUUUGUUUCUUGGUGUUUUCAAGUCAAAAUUCGCAAGAUGUCUUUUGGGAAUGAUAUUUUUGGCUCCAAAAUUACUAAAAUUGGAAGUUCAAGUCCUAUAAUCACUUUCAAACCUUUAAUGGGAGGUGCAAAUUAUUUAUCUCGGGCUUUCCUCGCUUGAGUUGUGUCGAAGAUCACUUAAUGAUCUAUUGCGGAAGAUAGGAAAGACAAAGAACAAUGGGAGAAAGUCUGACGCUUAAUUAUGUAGUGGUGAUCUAUUGAUUCCAAGUUGAUGCCUUUGUUUCGCCCAUUCUUGACGUGUUAUUUAGUUUGGGAAAUGGCUCGCGCUUUAUACGCUAAUGACAUAUCUCGUUUUUAUGAUGUGAUAUUUCGAAUGACCAACUAGAAGAAACAAGAAUCUGAUGUGUCUACUUAAUUGGGACAAGUACAAACAGUCAUAGAAGAAUUUGAUACAUUGAUGCCCGUCACUGCGGAUGUGGAAAAGCAACAAGAGCACAGAUAGAUUUUGUUUUAAGUUCUUACACUUGCUGGACUUUCUACUGACCAUGAUGCAAUACGUGAUCAGAUUUUCGCUAGUCCUACGGUUCCUACAAUUGAUGAGUUAUUCUCUCGUCGGCUUCGCCUUGCCGCACCUCCCAGUCAUAAAGUAAUUUCAUCCCCCACUGUUGGCUUCUCUAUUCUUACAUCCCAAACCAUAGAAAAACGGACAUAUCAACAACAUACCCGGUGUAUUCCCACCUACUGUAUUCUCACCUAGUGGGGUCUGGGGAGGGUAGAGUGUAUGCAGACCAUCAUACCACUACCUCAGGAGAAGUAGAGAGGUUGUUUCCGAUAGGCCCUGGCUUAGAACCAAUAACCAUAUAGAAACAAAACGUAAAUGCAUAUAAACUUGUACAGGCAAAAUAAACUACCGCUAGCCACAAGAUAAUACUAGUGCCACAAGAUAGUACUAAAACUAUAUAUUCGAAGCCAUAGACAACACACAACCCACAAACAAGAAACUUCAGACACAAAUAAGGAACGCCCCCUACUGCGACUGACGCCCUCUCACCCCUAACCCUCUACCCUAAUCCGCAUCUUCCAUACCAUCCUAUCAAGGGUCAUGUUCUCUGUAAGUUGUAACUGCUCCAUAUCAUGCCUAAUCACCUCCCUCCAAUAUUUCUUCGGCCUACCUCUACCCAGCCUAAAAUCAUCCAUAGCCAGUGUCUCACAUCUCCACACUGGAGCAUCAGAACCCUUUGAUAUAGGAUCUACACCUAUAAACCGAAAAUACAACUAAAGAAGAGGAGAUGGAGAUGACAACGACGACACAAGAUGAAACAAGACACGGAUUUGGGAAUCAAAACACAAUCAAAUGCAUAAAAUAGAAAGGAUAGUAGUGAGACAUAAACCUUUACAAAAUGUAGGAACCAAGGUAUGUAUCAAACACCAAAACCCUCUACAAUCCACAAAGGCAACACCACACUCUUAGGUUGACACAAAAGGGAUUCAAACACCUCAAGCACCAACCUUUAUAAGCCAAAUCGUCAACUCUUGAUUCCAUACUCAAGUUAACCCUAGUUACGGUUUUCCACUCUUAGGGAGAAGAAAGAAAGUCUACAAUAUGAGUUCACUCAAUAUUCAUCAAUAAGCUAAUGACAAAUAGAAGCCUACUUGUCUAUUUGUAGUUAUUACAAUCAAAGACUAAAAUACCCUUAAUGAAGGGGGCUCCUAUGGAGUGUAAAAGAAAGGCUUCAAAAGACCACAAUGCCCUUAAUGUGAAGGCAAGGGGCGGCUUUGGAAUGCAUGGACCCUUCUUCUCUUUUCAACUUGUACUAAGACUUUGAAAUUGUUCAAAAGGUCUUCACCCACUUGUAAUCCCGAGCUUGGUCCUUUGAGGGAGAUCUUGUACUCUUUGCUCUCGUAUCAUCCUCUCCAUCUUGAAAGGAAUUUGUCUACAAAUUCACACCUUGCAAAACCAAAUAGAGGGCAAACAAGCACACAAUCCUCAUGGUGUGAGGGUUAGCGUUAGUACCACAAAUAUCAUCAAGCCAAGGUUGUUCACACUUGAAAUACAUCCAUGGGUCCUUUGGGUGUGACAUGAAAAGCUUAGCAUAAAUAGCACAAAGGAAGAGACUAGGACAAGCAUCAAAAGGUAAUACACAUUAGCCAAAACUAUCCCUCUCAUACCCAAAGGUGCACCGGGAUCAAAUGGUAGAAGUAGCCAAGGACAUAAGCCGAGGCUACUCUUUUCUUUUACUAGAAUGCCAUCCCCACAAUCACACACGACAUUUUUCUUCAAAAGAAGACUAACAUUCCAGAUUAAGGAGUUGCGACCUAGAUGUAUUCCUUCAACAAGAUAUAUGCCAUUAUUCACAACAUUUUCAUGCACAUGAUCUUUAUGAACAAAACUAGUAAUGUUCAAAAAGUCAUGUUCCUUAUCAAGAUAAACUCUAUAGAUGCUAUCACUAACUUUAGACUCUACAAGCACACUAUGCACAUGAUCAAGUAGUGACUGACAUUUAUAAGUGAAUUGAUCAUCAUACACAUCAAGAGUACUACCAAGAAAAGAUUCAUGCUCUUCUUCACUAGACAAACCCGCAACUACAUUUAAUUGGCUACUACUAGCCACAUCACAACAUUUUAAGCUUAAAGGAGUGUAGAAGAUAGCAAUGUUACCUUGAUUUGUAUGAUGGCAAUCCACUUGCUUCCUUUGAAGGCUCUAUCACGAGGGAAGAUGUCAAGACUCCCGCUUUGAAUCAUUUCUUCACCACCCUCCCCAAACUUGGGAACUUCGGUAUUGUACGGAAAUUGGUAAGGUGGCGGUCUAGGAUUGGUUGCACUUUUUGAAAGGUUCUUAUUUUUUCCAACUUUGAAAUUUUAGUUCAAUUUUUGGUUCUUGAAGUGGUAUAACCGCCCUUGGAGAUGAAAACAAGAAGAUUGGAGCCCUUUUCACCUUUCAAAAAGGUUUGACUUGUCUUACACCUUUUGGGCAAAACACCUUUUUGAGGGGUUGGAGGACUUUUCCUCUUUUGUACACCUAGGAACGUGGUCUUUCUCUCUUUUGGAAACUAGACUUUUGGUAGAUCUUUUUGUCCCCCUUCCCUUUUGGUAGGUCUUUGGGACUAGUUUCAAGACAAACACAAAGACUUCCCUUCCUUCUCUUGAUUUUUGGAUCAAACAACACUAUUGAAGAGCCUUCUUGCAACUAGACAUGAAGAUUGGUCUAGAACAACAAGAACCUUCAAUAGAAGUUUGAAACCCAAACCUCACGUUGAACCUCCAAGAAUCAACACCACCUUUCUAAAUUUAAAACCCACAAAACAAUAUCAACAACACAAGUUCAAACCAACACGUUCAAGUUUUCGGAUCCACAACAACAACACCAACAACGUUCAAGCUCUUGAACCCCAACAAUAAUACCACAACAGAUUUUCAAGCUCAACUUGGAUCUAGACUCAAGAGUGUUAGUGAAGACAAAAAGCUAACACAAGAAACACUCAAAACAAGUAAAAAACACCUAGAUCUAGACUUAAACUUUCGGCGAAGACAACAACAAGAAGAACACACUUCUCGGCCAAGAACACCAAACUCAAGAACACUUUUUUUUUCAACUAACCAAUCCCAAGAUUUAUCUUGUGGGAACAAAAUCAGCCUUAGCUCUGAUACCAAAUGAUACAAACCAGCCAACAAACGAUACAAAAUCAGCCAACAACACACGAUAACAAGAUGGAACACAAAGCUACGGAAACAAGACAAGCCGAGAACACAAGAUAACAAACAAGCAAUACAUAAAGAUGGAUAAAUAACUUGACAUAAGAGUAUACAAAUCCUAAGAACCUAAGGGUGUAUCAAACCCAAAGACCCUUAAAACUCAUACAAACAACACCAAGCUCUUACGUGAACCUCAAGGGAACCGGAAUCCCCAAACAACCCACGUUUCUAAACGGGUAACCAACUCCAAACGAUUCCACGCUCGGUCACAAGUGAAUCCACACUUGCAAGACACUCUCAAAGAGUUUAUCUCUCAAAAUAAUAUCAAAGUUGUGGACAAAUGACCUAAUAACAUCUAUUUAUAGUCCUAAACUUAUUACAUAGUAAAUAACCAAAAGGCCCUUAAUGAAAGCCACAAGAGGGGCGGCUUUGGGGUGUAGACUUCGGCGCCUUUGAAGUGUUUUGAAAGCCUUCUUGACACUUCAAAGCUUGUUCUCUUGGUUGGGCAGCCCCCAAGCUCGAGUCUUUACUUAUUGGUCUCCAAUCAUGUCCUCGAAAGCUAGGAUGCCCCUUUGACUCAUAUCAUACAAACAAUACAAAACCAGCCAACAACACACGAUAACAAGAUGGAACACAAAGCUACAGAAACAAGACAAACCGAGAACACAAGAUAAACCGAGAACACAAGAUAACAAACAAGCAAUACGUAAAGAUAGAUAAAUAACUUGACAUAAAAGUAUACAAAUCCUAAGAACCUAAGGGUGCAUCAAACCCAAAGACCCCUAAAACUCAUACAAACAACACCAAGCUCUUACGUGAACCUCAAGGGAACCGAAAUCCCCAAGCAACCCACGUUUCUAAACGGGUAACCAACCCCAAACGAUUCCACGCUUGGCCACAAGUGAACCCACACUUACUAGACACUCUCAAAGAGUUUAUAUCUCAAAAUAAUAUCAACGUUGUGGACAAAUGACCUAAUAGCAUCUAUUUAUAGUCCUAAACUUAUUACAUAGUAAAUGACCAAAAGGCCCUUAAUGAAAGCCACAAGAGGGGCGGCCUUGGGGUGUAGACUUGGGCGGCCUUGGAGUGUUUUGAAAGCCUUCUUGACACUUCAAAGCUUGUUCUCUUGUUUGGGUAGCCCCCAAACUUGAGUCUUUACGUAUUGGUCUCCAAUUAUGUCCUCGAAAGCUAGGAUGCCCCUCUGACUCGUAUCAUUUACUCCAUUUUGUUGUGGAGUAUACAGGUAGUAAGUUGAUGAAUCCCUGCUUCAUCACAUAAAAUGUUGAAUUGUGGAGAAGUGUAUUCCUUUACAUUAUCUGUUCGUAUGGACUGAAUUUUACAAUCAACUUUAUUUUCUACCUUUGCUUUGAACUUUUGAAAGACAUUAACAGCCUCUGACUUAUGCUUGAGAAAGUAAAUCCAGCACAUGCGAGUUAAAUCAUCAACAAAAAUGAUAUAGUAAAGACUACCUUUUAGUGAGGGAGUCCUUUGAGGUCCUGCUAUAAGUAUGAAUUAGUUGCAAUUUCUUUGAGGCUCUCCAAGUUGUCUUUGGAAAUGGAAGUCUGCUUUGUUUCCCAUAUUAACAUGCUAGGCAAUUUGAAAAAUUCACUUCUAAAACAGGUAAGUCCUCGACUAUUUCUGUUUUUUGCAUUUUAAUCGACCCUUGAUAGUGAUAAUGUCCGAGUCUCUUGUGCAAUACUUUUGCAACAUUUUCUUUGACUGAAAAAACCACAUGCUCCUCCUCAAAUGGAUCUAGUGAGAAACUUUUACCUCUCAUUUUUACUUUAAACAUUUCUUGAUCUGAUGCAUCCGUGAUCAACAAUGUUUAUCUUCAAAAUUUAAUUUGAUGUAGGUUUCCAUAAAUUGACCAACACUAAGCAAGUUCUGAUCUAUUUCAGGUACAUAAAGCACUUUAGAAAUUAUUUUUAUACCGAGUGACUUGGAAUAACAACCUUUCUUUUUCCUUUUGCAGGAAUAUAUCCACCGUUACCUAUUCUGACUUUAGUAAUGGUUGUAGGCUUCAAUUCCUCGAAGAGAUCCUUGUCAUGUGAUUAAUACAUCCACUAUCAAUCAGCCCAUACUCGCUUGCUUGAUGAUUUACUUAAAAAACAUGACGAUUUACUUGAAAAACAUGUAGCAACAAAGAGUUGAUCUUCCUCCUCUCCAUCAACAAUCCGAACAUGUGCUUCUUGUUGCCGAUUGUUUUUCUUGCAAAUGACAGCUUCAUGCCCAAGUUGAUUGCAUUUACUAAACUUAGCAUCAGGUCUUCUCCAACACUUGUAUGGUGGAUGACCUUUCUUGUUACAAUGCUUACAUGGAGGAAAACUUCUCUGUGUUUCCAGUUUUUGCUUUGGCUGUGCUUGCUGGAGCGCUUUCACCAUUCUUGUUCUUCUUAUUUUUGCCUUCAUCUUGAGGCUUGGCAAACAAUGCUCCCUCGGUAUUUCCUUCCUAUCUCAUGACCUUUUGUUGUUCUUGUGCCUGCAAAGUAUUCAACAACUCUGCCAAGGUGAUCUUGAAUAGAUCCUUGGUGUUUUCCAAAGUAGUUAUGGUUGCUUCAAAUCAUUCCGGCAUAGUUACUAGAAUUUUUUCAACAAUACGAGAAUCAUUAAACACGGAACCAAGCAAUCUUACCCUAUUUGCUAUGUUCAGGAGCCUUUCAGAGUAAUCUUUUAUGUUUUAGGUUGCUUUCAUCUUCUGCAUCUCGAAAUCUCUUAUAAGAUUCAAAUCUUGCAUACCUCUGAUUCACUUAUCCCCUUCUUAUUUUGACUUAAGAUAAUACCAUAUGUCUUUGGUUGACUUUAGAGACACAAUUCGAGUGAAAAUUGAAGAAGAUACUGCUGAAAAUAGACAAGCUUUUGCCUUUGAUUUUUUGGUUUUCCUGUCUUUAUGGUUCUUGAUCUGGGCCAUAGUUGGAUUGUUAGGCAACGGAGGAAUUUCAUAAUCCCCUUCAACUGCCUCCCACAUAUCCAUGACUUCUAGCUAAGUGUCCAUCCUUACACCCCAAAUCUGAUAGUUUUCACCAUUAAAAACAGGUGGUGCCAUUGUUGAAAAACUUGAUUUUGCUUCCAUACUUCAUAAACUUGCCUUGUUUCAAUUCUGACUUUGAUGAAACACCCACAGAUCCCUCAAGAAAUAAGUGCUCUGAUACCAAUUGUAAGUUUCCAGAGAGUGAAGAACAUAAUAAACUGAUUUUACUUGUUGAUAAACAAGUCGAACAUGAGUUUGAUAAAUUAACUGAGAGUUGUUGAUGAAAGCAAAAACUACAGAUUUAUUAAGAAUUCUGACUUAUUUAUAAAUUACAAUCUUAACUGAAAAGGUAACCAACUCCUAAGGAUAAGGAUAAGGAUUAGAUAGAAACUAAUUAAUAGUUGACUAAUAUUAACUUCUAAUAGAUAACAUAGAAUUCAGACUGCUGUAGCUCUUAUGCAUUUUUCUAACAAUUGGCUUAAGGCUCGCCUUGUUGCCAAAGGAUACACACAAAUAUUUGGGCUUGAUUAUAGUGACUUUCUCUUCCGUGGCUAAAAUAGCAUUUGUCCGUCUUUUCCUUAUCAGUUGGACAUUAAGAAUGUUUUUCUACAUGGUGAUCUUGAGGAAGAAGUCUAUAUGGAGCAACCACCUAGUUUUGUUGAUCAGGGGGAGUCUAGUAGCCUUGUAUGUCGAUUGCGCAGGUCACUCUAUGGUCUGAAAUAGUCCCCUUGAGCCUAUUUUCGAAUGUUUAGCACAAUAAUUCUACAGUGUGACAUGAUUUGGAGUGGAGCUGAUCACUCAGUGUCUAUCGACAUGCUGAACCAAAUUUGUGUAUUUAUUUGGUGGUUUAUGUUGGCGAUAUCGUUAUCACCGACAAUGAUCAAGAUGGUAUCACUAAGUUAAAGCAACAUCUAUCAUUUUCAGACUAAAGACCUCGGCGGACAAAAAUAUUUUUUAGGUAUUGAGGUUGUUCAGUCCAGCUCUGGUAUUGUUUUUUCUCAAUGUAAGUAUGCCUUAGACAUUCUUAAGGAGACAGGAAUGAUGAGAUGUAGACCCAUUGACAAUUCUAUGGAUCCAAAUGCUAAACUUCUUCAAGGAUGGGGGAGCCACUCAGUGAUCCUGAAAGGUAUGGGCGGUUGGUUGGAAAGUUGAAAUUAUCUUACAGUGAAUAGACCUGACAUUCUUUUCUGUGAGUGUUGUAAUUUAGUUUACGACUUCCCCUUGUGAUAGUCAUUGGGAUGUAGUUAUUCUUAUUCUGCGAUAUAUAAAGUCAUCUCCAGGUGAAGGACUACUCUUCGAAGAUCGAGGUCAUGAGCAUAUCAUUGGAUAUACAAAUGCGGAUUGGGCAGGAUGACCCUUUGAUAGACGCUCUACAUCUGGAUAUUGUGUUUUAGUAGGAGGUAAUUUGAUGUCAUGGAAGAGUAAAACAGAGUGAGGUUGCUCGAUUAACACGGGUCAAAGAGGCAUCUUAGCACUCGAGGAUAUGAUGGAAGCCAAGGCAUGAAGACUCGAGCUUGUGGGGGUUACCCAACCAAGGGAACAAGUCUUGAAGUGUCAAGAAGUCCUUCAAAACACUCUAAGGCCGUCCAUAUGCGCCCUACAAGGCCGCCCCAUGUGAGGGGCUCAUUAAGGGUCUUUUAGUCAUUUUGUAAUAAGUUAACCUAGCUUAUAAAUAGAACCUUAUUAGGUCAUUUGUCCACAACUUUGAUGAUAUAUUUUGAGAGCUCUAUAGAGUGUCUUGCAAGGUGGAUUCCUUGUGACAAGUGUGGAUAUCACUUGUGUUGAUAACAAUCUUAGAAACGGUGGUUGCUUGGGAUUCUAAUUCCCUUGAGGUCCCGUAAGAGUGUAGGUGUUUAUUAUUACUUGUUAUAUGUGUUUUGGUGUUUGAAACACGCCUAAGUGCUUAGAACUUGUAGUAAUUCAUGUCACACUAUCUAUCCUUCUUGUUAUUGUCAUCUUGUUUUUCGUUUUGUCUUGUAUUGUUGAACUGUGGGUUGUUUACUCUUUUAUUGUAGUUCUUCAUUUGUGUUGUUAAUCAUAGUUUUGGUUGGCUAGUUGGUGUGAUAAACACCUUGUUACCUCGUGUUGUCUUGUAGUUUUUUGAUACAAAUCAGUCCACCAAGAUGCCAAAACAGUCCACAAAACAUGAGAACAACAAGCAACACAAAGGGAUACAAGAUGACAAACACAAAAACACACGGAUUUGUAAAAUAAUGAAAGGAUAGAUAGUGAGACCAAGAUUAUUACAAGAUUAAGAACCAAGUAUAUUUCAACAUUAACCCAUAAUGAAUGUAAUAAUCAAAACCACAUUCUUACGGUGACCGCCAAGGUAAUCGACUCACCUCAAGAUCCACCGUUUCCAAGCAAAGAACAAUAUUGGCUUUUCCAAGCCCUAUACUAAGGAUGAUUUUUCCAAGUCCUAACUAAGACUAUACUAAGGUGGUCUACUCUCAAGAGAGAGAAUUUCAAGUUUUUAAUCUUUCAUCUUUCAUAAACUAAAGAGACAAGACCUAAUAAGAGACUAUAUAUAGCCUAGCUUAUUACAUAGUAUAAUGGACCAAAAUACCCUUAAUGAAAGGGGAGGUAAUGGGUUGUUUCUUUAACAUGUGCAAUCCCCAAAAUACCCUUAAUGAAGGGUGCUUCUUCAAUGCUCCAAAACCAUGGGGCCACGCUUCAAAACUUGUAAUCUCGAAUUGGCAUCAAAUGUAAGCCCCCACGCAAUCUUCCACACACGGAUUUGUUUAAUGACAUGCUCAAAACGGGUCCUCUAUGCAUGUUCUCGUAUCCUCGAGGUGACCAAGUCUUGAGCCUCUAUGUGUUGGCCUCUAAAGAUGUCAUCCCCUUCUUGAAAAGGAUUCGACCUCGAAUCCAAACCUUGCAAAACCGAAGAGAGGACAAACAAAUACAAACUCCUCAUGGCAUGAGGGUUAGGGUUAACACAACAAAUCAUCUCAACAUGCCAAGGUUGGACAUAUUUGCAAUAUAACCAAGUAUCCUUUGAAUGAAAUAUUAAAAACUCAAUGAAAGAUGUACGAAGGAUUUGGUUAUGGGAUUCAACAAGAGUGACACUUUGCUUGUUAUGUAGACCAAGCAACAAUUUGGGUGCACCAAUAUCACCAUUUCCAUUUUGGCACCGGGGUCAAACGGGAAGAGUGGCCAUAGACACGGGUCUAGACAACACUCCCCUUUCCCAUGGUCUCCACCCAAACUAAAUGACAUACUCUCUACAGUAACAUACAUAUCAUCGAAAGAAAAUAGAGAGUAGAGAAAAGUAUCACUCAAGUCGACUUCUACUAAGGUGCCCUAUGUGUGUACUCACUACUAGUUUCCCAAUCAUCACCAUGAGUACUCUCAACAAUAAAGUCACACAAAGUAGAAGAAGUAACUUCCAAGACUACACAUUCCUUACCCUUAAGAGUACUCCCAUCUUCCAAGAAGAGAUUUUCAUCUUUAGGAGGAAUGUUGUCACACCAUAGUAGGUUAACAUAUAGGCUAUAGCCUCCAAGGUGAGCUAUACCAUCUUUUUCACCACUAGGCUCAUUAGGAGUGUUUAUAUCAUUUUCAAACAAGACAUUAUACCUAAAGAGUGCAUGAUCCAACCCACGGGCAGAUUUGGAACAAGCAAGUUCCUUACUCUCUAAGAGAUCAAUAUUAAGUUUCAAAGCGAUUUCAAGCACAAUGUUGUCCCAAGAAUAGCUCUCGGGUUCACUCCCCUUUUGUUGACCAACCUUUUCAAAUACUUCACUCACUUGAAUUGGAUUAAUCACAUCACACAUAUACUUAAGUGGUGGACAAUUUUCACAAAUAGGUUGAUCAACAUCAAUUACACAAGACGAUGUACUUCCGUUCAACAUAUAGGCUUCAACACUAGGUGGACAUAAAUUGAUCUUACAGGAAGAGUCAAUUUGCUCAUCAAUAGGAUCAACUAGUGUAUCACACUCACAACAUGUACAUCAUCAACAAAAGGCAAAGAAUCAUUAAACUCACAAGUAAGCUACUACUCACAUUCAAUGGGCUACUAGCCACACAAUUAUUAUUCACAUGCACAAAAGUGUAAGAGUUAGCUAUUUUACCUUGAAGUUCUUGAGUCGACUCUCCUUUGCCGUGUUGUGAAGGACCUCUACAAGCUUGGGCAACAACUUCACUUCGGCAUUGCUCUCCUUCACUUGCCAUGUCGGUACCUACACAAAUGUCCUUAGAAAUAGAAGGACAAACAAUGUUAGCUCGGUUUGGUGGCAAGCUCCUCACUUCGCUCCACACCACCUCUCCUUUUUCCACUUUCGGAUUACCACCUUGCACACCUUUACUCCUCUCAAUAUUUUCUCUUUCAUAAGCAUUAGGAUUGGAGUAAGUAUUCACUUCUCUUUGCGGCUCAGGCAACAUGUAUGUCACGAGGUGAUUUCCCCAUCGGUCUCUUACAAUAUUUGACCAAUUUUGCAUAUUUGGAACUCUAUGUUGUGCAAACCAAUCGUCACUUAAGCAUACAUGACCGUAUGUCAAUGGAAGAAUAUCGCACCACACCUCCUCAUGGUAUUCAAAUUGGGAGAAGACAACCUUGACCCUCUCGGUAACCUUAAACCCGUCCAAGAAGUAUGGCACAAGUAAAGGCUCACGAAACAACCCCAAGUAGUCAACCAUAGAUGGAACGAUGUAGUUACUAUAGUACCUAUCAUUUAACACAACGAGGCAGCUCGGUAUCCCACAAAUGGUCACCUUUCCGAAGCGUACACUCCUUUUCGGAUCAACAUUGUAAAGCACACGAGUACCCCUCGGUUUUGGAUAUGCAUACCCUCUUCUUCUCGUUGGAAAACCUCCACUAGAGCUAGUAUAACCAUUCACACUAUAUCGACCUUGAUAAGAAGUACUACAAGGUGGAGAAUAUGAAUCUUCACACUCCUCACGUGUACUCUCAUCAUAGCUCUCAUAAGCUUUGCGAACGAAAGGGUUAUACCUAACACCAAAUCUAGGUUCGGAGUGAGAAGUGUAAGACUCCUCACAUGCCCCAACAUCAUCAUAAGAUCCAUCAUGAGGUCCUACAUCAUCUCCAAAUUCAUCAUAAGCACUAGGCCCUUCAUUCACCUCAUUUUCCCCCUCAAAAUCGUAACUCUCAAAUUUGCCCAAGUUUUGAUCAUGGCUAUUUUCAUAGCCUCUGCAAUCUCCCUCAACUUCGUAGCCAUAAAACCCCUCACUACAAUCAUAGUCUCCCAUGUUGUAGUCACAAUAAUCCCCGGCUAUCGAAGACAUGUUCCCCGUAUAUCACCUUUGUACCUACACAAUGAACAAACAAGAUUAGUAGUAAAAGCUCCUCACCAACACUCAUAUACACCCACCUUUGUGAUUCUCACAAUUGGAGCGGCGAAUAUUGUAAGUUGCUUAUACUCUGGUAGUCAAUAGGAUGUCAAUUCUACUUGGUGGCUAGAAUGGAUUCUUGUUUGAUCGACUAAGACACAAAAAUAAAAUUUACUUACGAACUUGAAACAAAGAAAAUACUACGACUUAUAAACGAGAAAAGCACAAAAUACAAUGCUUUACACGAAAGAAAACAUACUCAAAAACUAAUCUACAAUCUAGUAGGUAUUUACUAGUUUGCUAAUUAGUAUGAGAACCAACAAAAUGGAAACCAAUAGAAUCAAAAAAGUGAAACUAGGAAUUUCAACGUUCUUGAGCUAUUGAUGACAUGGCACUUGACUAUUGGUUGAUGGACAAAAAAAAAUAUUGUUGAAGUUGAAAAAUUUAGUUCCACAAUUUUGGUUGUUCAAAUUUCACAAAGAUGGGGGAAACUUCAAUUUUGGUAGGUUAACAAACAAGACUUUUAAGACCUUUUCAAAAUUCAAACCUUGACCAAUUUUCACCUUUUUGGCAAGACAACCUUUUAGAGGUCUUGUCCCCCUUUCGUCUUUUGGUUUGUCUAGAAAAAUGAACUUACUCCCUUUUGGUAUGAAGACUUUUGGGAGGUCUUUUGUUCCUUUUCCCCUUUGGUAAUGUCUUAAAAGUUGUUUCAAGACUUACAAGAACCCACACUCUCUUCCCUUUGAAUUUGGAUCAAACAACAACCUUUUACAAGACUUCUUCAAGACAACACAAGAACCUCAACAACAACAACAACAAAACCGUCCACUCUUCCCACAACAACUUGCAAUUUUUUUUUUUUUGCUCAAGAACUUGGGUUAGACUNNNNNNNNNNNNNNNNNNNNNNNNNNNNNNNNNNNNNNNNNNNNNNNNNNNNNNNNNNNNNNNNNNNNNNNNNNNNNNNNNNNNNNNNNNNNNNNNNNNNNNNNNNNNNNNNNNNNNNNNNNNNNNNNNNNNNNNNNNNNNNNNNNNNNNNNNNNNNNNNNNNNNNNNNNNNNNNNNNNNNNNNNNNNNNNNNNNNNNNNNNNNNNNNNNNNNNNNNNNNNNNNNNNNNNNNNNNNNNNNNNNNNNNNNNNNNNNNNNNNNNNNNNNNNNNNNNNNNNNNNNNNNNNNNNNNNNNNNNNNNNNNNNNNNNNNNNNNNNNNNNNNNNNNNNNNNNNNNNNNNNNNNNNNNNNNNNNNNNNNNNNNNNNNNNNNNNNNNNNNNNNNNNCGUGAGAAGAACAAGCAACACAAAGGGAUACAAGAUGACAAACACAAAAACACACGGAUUUACAAAAUAAUAAAAGGAUAGAUAGUGAGACCAAGAUUAUUAAAAGAUUAAGAACCAAGUAUAUUUUAACAUCAACCCCUAAUGAAUGUAAUAAUCAAAACCACACUCUUCCGGUGACCGCGAAGGUAAUCAACUCACCUUAAGAUCCACCGUUUCCAAGCAAAGAACAAUAUUGGCUUUUCCAAGCCCUAUACUAAGGAUGACUUUUCCAAGUCCUAACUAAGACUAUACUAAGGUGGUCUACUCUCAAGAGAGAGGAUUUCAAGUUUUCAAUCUUUCAUCUUUCAUAAACUAAAGAGAAAAGACCUAAUAAGAGACUAUAUAUAGCCUAGCUUAUUACAUAGUAUAAUGGACCAAAAUACCCUUAAUGAAAGGGGAGGUAAUGUGUUGUUUCUUUAACAUGUGCAAUCCCCAAAAUACCCUUAAUGAAGGGUGUUUCUUCAAUGCUCCAAAACCAUGGGGUCACGCUUCAAAACUUGUAGUCUCGAAUUGGCAUCAAAUGUAAGCCCCCACGCAAUCUUCCACACACGGGUUUGUUUAAUGACAUGCUCAAAACGGGUCCUCCACGCAUGUUCUUGUAUCCUCGAGGUGACUAAGUCUUGAGCCUUUGUGUGUUGGUCUCUAAAGAUGUCAUCAAAAGAUAAGCUAACCAUUUGUCUCGUAUCAUUUUUGCCGAGACAAGCUCUAGUUUGUUCCUCGCUUUGUGUCUUAUUUCUUGGACUGUUUUGUGCCGUUUUGGUGUGUCCUUGAGGUGUUGGGUAUUAUUUGGUAUCGGAGCUAAGGCUGGUUUUGUUCCUACAAUACCAAUCUUGGGCUUCCGUGGUCGAAAAAUAAAAAAAAGUCUUCUACAAGUUGGUUGUUUUGGCCGAGUUUGUGUCUAGAUUUAGGUGUGUUUUGCUUGUCUUAGUUGUUUCUUGUGUUUGUUUUCUUUCUCUCUAACACUUGUUGAGUCUAAACCCAAGUUUUUGAGCUAAUUUUCAAGUUGUUGUUGAAGGUGGUGGACGGUUUUUUUGUUGUUGUUUUUGGUGUUCAUCUUGUGUUCUUGUGUUGUAUUGUCAAAAGGUUGUUGUUGAUCUUGAAAAGAGAAAAAGAAGAGUGUGAGUUUUGUUUGUCUUGGAACCAUUUUCAAGACAAAACCAAAGUAGUAAGGAGACCAAAGACUUCCAAAAAGUUUAGCUACCACAAAUAAGUAAAACACUUUUCAAGGUUGUCCAAAAGGGGAAGGGGACAAGACAUCCAAAAAGGUUGUCUUGCCAAAUUGGUGCAAGUAGGAGAAAGGCUUUUUGAAUCUUGAAAGUGGAGUCUAAGACCUUGUUUGCCUAUACCCUAGCUGUAAUCUCUUCUUCCAAUUAUGAAAUUGAACCACUAACUUCUUGAAACAAUUUUUUUUUUAACUUCUCCGACAUUACAACGACCAAUAGUUAAGUGCCACGUCAUCAAGAGCUCAAGAUCGUUGGAAUUCCUAGUUUCGCUUUCUUGUUUCUAUUGGUUUCCAAUUUUGUUGACUCUUAUACUAAUUGACAACUAGUAAAUACCUACUAAGUUGUAGAUUAGUUUUUGAAUACGUUCUUGGUGUUAGCGUUGUUUUUGUGCUUUUCUCCUUUUUUUUUUUUUUAGUCGUAGUAUUUUCUUUGGUUCAAGUUCGGACAUUACUUUUGAGUCGUUUCAAACAAGAAUCUACUCCGUCCUCGAGCCACAAUUGGAAACAAAUGACCUCAUUGGAGUACAAGCGGGUUAUCAACACUUGUGAGGCCUAUAGAGUGAAAACUUCAAAAGUACUCUUGAGAGUUUGCGGACUGUUUUGAGACGUUUUGUGGACUGAUUUUUACUAACCUUUAACGUGUUUUCUGUUUUUGUGUUGUUUGUUUAGUAGUUUUCGAUAGGCAUAAUGGCGGAUGAAGGGGAAAUGCCUAAUUAGGCUAGUUCUUUCAUGGAAAAACUUGUCAUUUCCAUGGAUAAUCGAUUGGGCUCUUUUGAAGGGAGGUUGGAGAGACUGGAAGGGAUGGAAGGUUCUUUUUCAAGGAGAAUGAACACCUUGGAAGUUUGUUUAGAUUCCAACCAUUCAAGUCCUAAACACUACCAUGCCUCGACUAAUGGAUAUGCUGACAAUGCCUCUUCGACUAUAACUCCAGAUAGACUUCACCAAAUGCUCAAUCCACCUAGACCAGCCCGUGAACCCCUUAACCAAGUUCUUACAUAUCCAAAUAACCGAAACUAAGUCCACCAAGAAGCUCCCCAAAAUCGAGACCUACUUGAAAUGCCAAGAGCACCACUAAACCGAAACCAACCAAUCCAAAUUGAUGGAGAGGUGAGGGUCCUUAUGGAGGGGAGGAGUUCGGUGAAAUAGCUCUUUUUGCGGAGUUUGUGAGAAACAGAAGAGGAGCUCAUGGCGGAGGGCAUAGGGGCCGUGGGGGAAGAUUUAGACCGGCUCCUCAUGGUAGAGGCAAUAUGGGACACCGUUAUCAUGCUCAAGAAGGUUUCGGGGACCACGCAGGAAAUGUGGGUAGAGACACUGGUCUUAACUCCAUCAAAAUCACUCUCCCUACUUUUAAGAAACUAGUGACUCGUCUAUCUAUCUUGAUUGGGAGUUACAAUGCAAUCGGAUCUUCCAACUCAAUGAGUUAACUCCUUAUAAGAAGGCCACCCAUGCCAUUGCUCAACUUGAAGGGUAUACGUCUACAUGGUGGGAGACCAAACAGUUGCAAAGAGCAAGAAAUGACAAUCUUGACCUUCUGGAUUGGGAUGAAUUGAAAGCACUUAUGAGAGAGAGAUAUGUCACGAAAAGUUCAAGCAAGAGCAAUUAACAAGGCUCUACAACUUGCGGCAAGGUGAUAGAAGUGUGGAGGAGUAUCAUGAGGAGUUUCAUAACUUGAUUCUUCGCCUUGAUAUUGUUGAACCUCCAAAUCAUUAGUUGGCUCGGUUCAAAGGCGGGGUGUGCUAUGAAAUUGUUUCUCAACUAGUUGUACACAAGUUUGACUGAAUUGAGGAUCUUGUUGAAGCGGCCAUUGAGGUUGAAAGGAACAAUGAUGCCAAAAGGCAUUCGGAUGGAACAAGAACAAGGAUGCCUACAAGUCCUUCAAAAAGAAACCCGUUGAUAGGGUCAACCAAAGAUAUCCACCAUGGCUUUAAGGUACUACAUUUUCCAUUCCUAAUCCUAAGGGUAUUGUUUGUUUUAAAUGUCAAGGUUGGGGUCACAAGGUUAAUGAGUGCCCUAACCGAAGGAACAUUGUGUUGGUGGGGGGUGAUCCUUACUUUGUUAGGAGUAAGAUGACCAUAAAUGAUGUUAGUGAGGAAACCCCUCAAGUUGAUGAUGACAAUGAUGAAGCCGAGAUGGUAGUGGAAUAAGAAGUAAGUGCCUUGUGGGUUGAUGAUGAAAGAUUCCUAUGUAGAUAUUUGGUCCGAAGAAGGUGAGGUUACGAACUUUACCCUUAUGAUGAGGAAGGCCCCGUAUGGUGACGGUGGGCCAUCUCGGGUUCAAGAGGAUGUCCUUGGUUUCAAAACCAAGCACUUGUUAUUCACUACCUUCGGCACUAGCAUUGUGCCAAGUUCUAAGCCGAGAGCAAGCUCAAGUCCUUGCUCCAAAGGUACGAUUCUAUUCCCUUUUGUUCCUUCUAUGGUUGAUUGUGCUAACAUUAACCCUCUUGCUAUGAGGAAUGUGCGUUGUCUUGUGUUCCCUAUUGUUUUGCAAGAUUCAGAUUCGAGGACGAAUCCUUUCCAAGGAAGGGACGAUGAUACGGGUCAAAAAGGCAUCUUAGCACUCGAGGACAUGAUGAAAUCCAAGACGUGAAGACCCGAGCUUGUGGGGACUGCCCAACCAAGGGAAUAAGCCUUGAAGUGUCAAGAAGUCCUUCAAAACACUCCAAGACUAUCUAUAUGCGCCAUACAAGGCCGCCCUACGUGAGGGGCUCAUUAAGGGCCUUUUGGUCAUUUUGUAAUAAGUUAACCUAGCUAUAAAUAGAACCUUAUUAGGUCAUUUGUUCACAACUUUGAUGAUAUAUUUUGAGAGCUAUAAAGAGUGUCUUGCAAGGUGGAUUCCUUGUGAGAAGUGUGGACAUCAUUUGUGUUGAUAACAAUCUUAGAAACGGUGGUUGCUUGGGAUUCUAAUUCCCUUGAGGUCCCGUAAUAGUGUAGGUGUUUAUUAUUACUUGUUAUAUGUGUUUUGGUGUUUGAAACGUGCGAACUUGUAGCAAUUCAUGUCACACUAUCUAUCCCUCUUGUUAUUGUUAUUUUAUUUUCCGUUUUGUCUUGUAUUGUUGAACCGUGGGUUGUUGUUACUCUUUUAUUGUAGUUCUUCAUAUUGUGUUGUUAAUCAUAGUUUGGUUGGUUGGUUGGUGUGAUAAACACCUUGUUACCUCGUGUUGUUCUUGUUGUAGUUGCUGCCGAGACAAACUCUAGUUUGGUCCUCGGUUUGUGUCUUAUUUGUUGGAUUGUUUUGUGCCGUUUUAGUGUGUUCUUGGGGUAUUGGGUAUCAUCGAUCUAGUGCGGAAGCAGAAUAUCGAGCAAUGGUUCUAGCAACUUGUGAGCUAGUUUGGAUCAAACAGUUGUUGAGAGAACUAAAAUUUGCAAAAACCGGAAAGAUGGAACUUGUGUGUGAUAAUCAAGCAGUCCUUUAUAUUGUAUCAAAUCUAGUGUUUCAUGAGAUGACUAAACACAUAGAGAUUGAUUGUCACUUUGUUAGAAAAAAGAUGCUCUUAGGCGAUAUUGCUACAAAAUUUGUGAAGUCAAAUGAUCAACUUGCAGAUAUCUUCACCAAGUCCCGCACCGGUCCUCGUAUUAAUUGCAUGUGUAACGAGCAAGUUACAUAUUAAAACAACUAAUGCUGGACAGAGAAUGAGAAGAGCGAUGGUUUAUUCAUAGGCUAAUGGAGAAUAUAUAGGCGCUAAUACAACACUGAGUCCUAAGGUAAUACAACAACUAAUUACAAUUUUAAAGCGGCACGAUAACUAAUUACAAUUGUACAAGCAGAUAAAUAAUGAUAUAAUUACAAAUUAUUCUCGUAUAUCUCUUUCACGCCCCCGCAAGUUGGUGUUGACGUCUACAAUACCCAACUUGUCAAACAUACGACUGAAAGAAGCAUGUGGAAGUGGCUUGGUUAGGACAUCAACAACCUAAUCAGCAGCAUGUAAGUGCUUGACUUCAACCUCUUUGCGUUGCACCUGCUUAUGGACAAAGUAGAAAUCAAUUGCAAUAUGCUUCAUCUUACUAUGAAACACAGGAUUCUCGCUGAUGUAUGUAGUUCCAAUAUUAUCACAGAUUAUGUGCGGAAUGCAAGCAAGGGAAAAACAAAGCUCAUGCAGUUGGUUGGUGAUCUAGUUGGUUUCUCCAAGAGCAGCAGCUACAGCUUGAUAUUCAGCUUCAGUGGAUGACCGAGAGACGGAUCGCUGCUUCUUGGAGGACCACGAGACUGGCGCACUUCUAAGAUAUAUAACAUAGCCAGUUGUGGAAGUUUUGUCUGUAGGGUCACUAGCCCGACCAGAGUCAGAGUACACCAUAAUUCGACUAUCAGUCUCACGGGUUGUUUGAAGCCCAAAAGAGGAGGUUUGUUUGAGAUAUCGAAGCAAUCACUUAACAACUUCCAAUGAUUAGCUUGAGCACAAUGCAUAAACUGGAAGAGUUUAUUUACUGUAAAAGUAAUGUCAGGUCUGGUGAAGGACAAAUAUUGUAGCUUGCCAAUAAUUUUUCGAAAGAGAGAGCCAUCAACAAUAGGAACAACUUGAUUUACACUAAGAAUAGUGGAGACAAACAUAGGAGUGGGAACUCCUUUUGCUGUCUUGCAUGUUGGCUUCCUGGAGGUCUUUUAUAUACUUUUGUUGAGACAACAGAAGGCGACCUUGAUACGACAGAACCUCAACACCCAAAAAGUAGUAUAAGUGGCCAAGGUCCUUGAGUUGAGCAAGGGCAUUGAUAAUUUGUCGAAUACCAUAAUCUUGAUUUCAAGUAACAAUAAUGCCAUGCCAUCCACACAUACAAGGAUAUAAACAGUGAAUCCUGAACAAGGACGAGUCAGAUUGUGAUUUGAAAAAACCUUGUGUUACCAGAAAGUUCUUGAGCUCGGUGUACCAAGCUUUAGGUGCCUGUUUGAGACCAUAAAUAGCUCUAUGAAGUUUGCAAACAUGAUUGGGCAAAGUCGGAUGCUCAAAGCUAGUGGUUGUCUCAUGUAUACUUGCUCCUCUAAAUGACCUUGCAAGAAUGCGUUAUUUAUAUCAAGUAGAUGUAAAGGCCAAUUAUAUUGAACAACGAUGGCGAGAACUAGGCGAACAGUUGUAGCCUUGACUAUCGGACUGAAGGUAGAAUGGUAGUCGAGUCCAGGCCGCUGAAUGAAGCCUUUGGCCAUCAAUUGAGCUUUAUACAUGUCAAUAGAACCAUCAGGAUGAUGUUUAAUGCCAAACAACCACUUAGGACUCGUUUGGUAGGCCGUAUUAAAUAAAAUAAUCCAUGGAUUAAAAGUUAGUCCAACUAUGUACAGUGUUUGGGUGCCAAAUUUAAAUUUAAUCCCACCUAAUACAUGGAUAGCUAAUACACCAUAGAGUGUAUUAUCUUAUCCCUAAGAAACUAUGGGAUUACUUAUCCAUGGCUUAAUAAUACAUGGAUAAGAAAAUUAAAUGACUCAACUACCCCUCAAUUCUUUUUAUUAAAUUUUUCUUUUAGUUUCAUUUUAAAUUUAAUCACUACAAAUUUGGUUGUUAUGUUACAUUUAAUUUACCAACUUUUUUUUACUUUGCUUAUGCGGAUCAAAUGCUUAAAUAUCAUUUACUCCCUUAUGUUGGUUGAUAGUUUCGAAUGUGAACUACAUUUAUGCUAUUUUGUAAUUGUUCAAUUUACAGACGGAUUAGUUUAAUAGAAAAAAUUAUUGUCAAAUAAAUAUAUAAUUUGAAAAUCUAAAAUUAUAUUAUCAACAGUCCGUGAUGUUCUUACAUAGUGUGCUUUACAUUUUUAAAAAAUUAUUUCUCUAUAAUAUGACAAUUAUUAGUUUGUUUUAAAUUUUUCUUGAUUAAAUAGACUAAAUUUUUCUUAAAGAAAUAAAUGAUCAACUAAGCGGAGUGAGAAUUAUUAUUCAUAUUUUAGCUUUUUUAAGAUCACGCAAAGGGUGAGCAACUUGACUAGUUAAAUGAAGUAGAAAAUCUCAUAAAAAUUUAAGGGUAUAAUUGUAAAAAAGAUUUUGUUGAGUUUUAAAAUACUUGAUAUAUCUAGUUUUUAAUACAAUGAACCAAGCACUUGAUAAAAAAUAAUCUCUAUAUUGCUAAUCCUUGCAUUACUAAUCCCUGUAUUGCUAAUCCGUGGAUAACUUCUUUUUGUACCAAACGACCCCUUACAGUCUACUACAUUCUUCUAAGGAUCGUUGGGAACCAAAGUCAACGUUUGGUGUCUCACAAGGGCAUCAAAUUCAGCUUGCAUAGCAGCAUUCCAGUGAGGUUCACACUGAGCUUUCUUGUAGGAAGUGGGCAUUUUUGGACUUGGAAAGUGAGCAAGAAAGUUUGAUGUUUGGGCUUAGGAUGUUAUUUUUGGAACGGGUGACUCGACAUUAUGGUGGAAGAUGCGGCUGAAGUGAUUUGGCUUGGUUGUGUGUUUAGGGGUGUGAUGAUAGCCGACAAAGUUGGAGUAGAAGGAGCUGCUGCAAUAGGGGAAGGUACGGAAGGAGGCAAAUGUAUGGUUUUACCGGAUGAAAGCGAUGACUUAUGAGCUAAAGGUGGAUUUCGUCGUUUAUAAGUUAAAAUGGGUGGAUUGUUUGUUUGGACAUGAGUGGUUUGGUUCGUUGAAGAAGGUGCAAAAAGGUUGAGUGGCUGCCUAGAAUUGGAGAGGAAAUCACAACUUUGUUAGAUAAUGAAUUCUAAGGAGAGUUGAAGAUCAUUUCUGGUUGUGGCGAUUGGCAUGGGCGAACUUUGUGGGAAAAGGUGCACACGCAAUAGCAGGAGGAAGUUCCAUGUUUAACUUUUGAGCUUCACAGGUGAUUUAGUUGUUUUUCUUUUCAACUAUUAUCCAAAAUUUGAUAAAUGAGAGAAAAUAUUUUGAAAAGGAAAAUUAUUCUUAAAAAAUAGAGCAUCUCUCGAUAAAAAUACUUUUUGGAAG